CACGUCCCAGCCUCUCUCGCUUAUGGAACACACGUAAGCACACGCACGCCGGCGGCCCGCGCGUCGGCGACGAUCUAGCCGAAGUGGUGGUGCUUCUUCUCGCCGCUGGCCUCCUUGGCCUCCUUGUGGUCCUGCUUCUUCUCGUGGUGCUCGUGGAAGACGAAGCCGCCGGCACCGACGGCCGCGGCGGCGGCCAGCUCCUCCUCGAUCUUGUGCUUGUGCGCGUGUUCCGGGUCCUUCUUCGCCUCGUGCUUCUCGUACUGCACGUGGACAAGCAGUUCAUUAGCCAAGCCCGGAAAGACAUGAACUACGUAUAUAUCUAUAUACGCGUAUGGGUAAAUAGUUACGAUGAGAGAGAGAGAGCGUACGAGGGCGAAGGCUCCGGCGGCGACGGCGCCCAUCUCGCCGAGGUGCUCCUUGUGCUUGUGGUGCUUCUCCUCCUUGGUGAUCCGCUCGUACUCGCCCUCGUUGCCGGUGCCGGUCACCACCGUCUCGGUCGAGUACCCGUACACGUCGGCGCCGCCAUCAGCGGCGGGCUGGAAGUCCUCGCCCUCCUUCUUGUGGUGGAACAGGUGGUGGUGGUGCUUCUCCUCCGCCAUGGCCGCCGGCUGAUCGAUUAACUAGCUUGUAUGUGUGCGUGUAUGUGACAGUGGGACAGCUUCUUAUCUGCUUGGUCUGUGUAGGCUUCCUACUGGCCGGGUUUUAUAGGCUGAGGCGACUGUUGGAAUGGACGGUGGAACUAACCGUUCCGUUCCACGGGUUAUGGAUACUGGAUCCAUCAAAUAUACAGUACGUAUGCAUACGAUUGUGAUCUGCUUUAUGUACGUGUCCCGGAGUCAUUGGAGGCUUGGAGCCCAAGCACUCAGGCAACCACAGGACAGGGGGCCACGUUCUGAUGGCCAACGGUGCAGCGCCCCACCACCUUCUUGGCACUUGGCAGAGUUGCAGCUUGGGGUAGCUUACAUGUGAGUAACAAAAGUUUAGAGAAGUGUCGGCAUGCACGGAUUGGCUGACGGUGAUGUGGCACCGCGCACGCCUUUCCCUGCUCCCCGCGUCCACUAUCCAGCAACCUUUACUCGUAUGUAAUUACGUGUGCGCAUUAUUACUUUUUCUUUUUUGAGAAGUACUCCGUAGUACUAUUUGUGAAAAGUAAAAACGAGAGAGAGGAUAAAAAUGAUGGAACCGUUGCUUUCAUUGAUGGAUUGGGAGUAUAUAUACCCCUGAUACAAGGCAGUUACAAAGAGGCAGUUGCUACUAGUAGCAACCGACAUAGCGGGGAUUAACCCUUUAAUUAAUCUAAUUAAUUUAUUUCUAACACUCCCCCUAAUCACUGCUUGUCUUGGAUAUUUAUUAUCUUGAUAAAGACUCCUCUUUGUAUGUGUCUUUAAGAAUGUCCAUCAUCUUCGUGAAAGCCUUUGUAUAAUCUUGAAAGUCUUCCCAAAAAACCCUGUGGGAAAAAAUAUGAGGAGAAUAGUGUAGGUAUGUUGCUAAAACUCCUUUAAACCCGGUGGGAAAAUAAUAAGGAGAAAAUAAUGCAACAUAUAAUGAUUAUUGUCUCUUGAUAACUCAAUCGAGAAAACCUUUGAAGAAGGAGAAAAAUCAAUUGUGAGUUUAGAGAACAAUUAAUAUGUCUUUAAUACUUUCUUUAAAAAAACCCAAUAGGGAAAAUAGAAAGUAUGGCAUAUGAUUUUGAUAAUAUAUUGCCUCAUUAAAAACCUUUUUAUGAGAAAACUGAUGCAAAACUCAUAAAGGAAAAGAGUACAAUUAUUAUCUGAUGAUAAUUAAUGGGUUAUGAGUCUAGGAAUUUCUCCCCCUGAAAUUUGCAAAUCUCGAAAACGUCUCAUACCAAUUCCAUGAAUAUAUUUCUGGAAUGUUGAAUUUGGUAAAGACUUUGUGAACAAAUCUGCUAGAUUGUCGCAUGAUUUGGUUUGCAAAAUAUCAAUUUCUCCAUCCUUUUGUAAUGCAUGAGGAUAGAAUAACUUAGGAGAAAUGUGUUUUGUGAUAUUACUUUUCACAUAACCCAUUUGCAUUUGAGCAAUGCAGGCUGCAUUAUCUUCAUAUAUAAUAGUUGGUGAUCCUAAUGAACCAACACCACAUGAAGUUUGAAUAUGGUUAAUCAUCCUGCGAAGCCAUACACAUUCUUUAGAUGCUUCAAAUAAUGCAAUAAUUUCAGAAUGAUUAGUGGAUGUUGCUACGAGAGUCUGUUUUGUUGACUUCCAUGAAAAAACAGUUCCACCAUAUAAGAAUACGAAACCUGUUUGUGACCUGGCAUUGUGAGGAUCAGAUAGAUAGCCAGCAUCAGUAUAUCCUACCAUAGUCAUAUCUUGGUUUUUCUGAUAGAAUAAGCCAAGAUCUUUUGUGCCAUGUAAAUAUCUAAGGAUAUUCUUUACUCCCGUCCAAUGACGUUUUGUUGGAGCAGCGCUAUGUCUAGCUAGUAAAUUUACCGCAAAUGCAAUAUCAGGCCUGGUGCAAUUUGCAAGGUACAUUAGCGCACCAAUGGCACUGAGAUACGGGAACUCAGGUCCUAAUAUCUCUUCGUCAUCAUCCCGAGGUCUAAAAGGAUCUUUAUUCAUAUCAAGGGAUCUGACAACCAUGGGUGUUUUGGUUGGAUAUGAUUUAUCCAUAUUAAAUUUUUCCAAAACCUUUUGAAUAUAUGCAGGUUGGUAUACUAAAAUUCCUGAGGGAAGAUGCUCAAGCUGUAAGCCUAAGCAGAAUUUGGUCUUUCCCAAAUCUUUCAUCUCAAAUUCCGCCAUUAGAUGAUUGCGUGCUUCUUCGAUAUCAGGUCUACAUCCAAUGAUAUUGAGGUCAUCAACGUACACUGAGAUGAUGCAAAAUCCAUUUGGGGAUUUCUUUAUAAAUACACAAGGGCAAUCAUCAUUAUUUGAGUAGCCUUUUUGAAUAAGGAACUCACUCAGCCGGUUAUACCACAUUCUACCCGACUGUUUUAAGCCAUAUAGUGACUUUUGUAAUUUUACACAAUAUGCGUUGCGAUUUGCUUUUGGAUUCGGCAUUUUAAGUCCUUCAGGGACUUUCAUAUAUAUAUCCGAUUUGAGUGACCCAUAUAAGUAUGUUGUCACUACAUCCAUCAACUGCAUAGAUAAAUUCAUUUGUACUGCCAAAGAUAUUAAGUAUCGAAACGUUAUUCCACUCAUUACAGGAGAGUAUGUAUCAUCGUAAUCGAUGCCGGGUCUCUGCGUGAACCCUUGUUCUACAAGCCUCGCUUUGUAUCUCACCACCUCAUUGUUUUCAUUCCUUUUUCGAACAAAAACCCAUUUUGCUCCAACAGGGAAGACAUUGUGAGGAGUAGGUAUUACUGAGGAAAAUACCUCUCUUUUGUUGAGCGAGCGCAGUUCUGCCUCAAUUGCUUCCUUCCAUUUAGGCCAAUCAGGACGCUUGAGGCACUCCCUGACGGUCUUUGGUUCUGGAUCCAGUUGAAGGGUUUCAGCAAUUUCAGAGGCGAAAUAUAUGUCGACAAUUGUAGUCUCUCUAUUAUAUGAUUCUCCUAAUUCUGUAUAGUUUAUGGAAAUUUCUUUUAUACCUUCAGACUCUAUGUGAUUUCCCACAACAAUAGAAUCAUGGUGUUCCGAUGUCCCAGCAAUUAUGUUUUUAUGCGCAUUUAUGCUUGGUUCAAGAUGUUGAGCAUCUGGUUGGUGUCCUUCAACUUGAGGUUGAAUUGCAUUUACUGGUAGAGGAUUUGAUUUCCUCUGUUUCCGCGGAGGCUUUUGAGAAGCUAUAUUCCGACUAACCAGAUUUCUCCCCCUCUUACUCUCAUUUGGGGUUUGAGUGGUUUUAGUUGGUACCUCCACUCGUUCUGGUGCAUUAACAGCGGGAAUAUGUGAUUUAGUGACACCUUUAUGGUGAGUAAAUGCAUCUGGCAGAUUAUUUGCAAUGUGUUGCAAAUCUAUGAUCCUGUGAACUUCAGUUUCAGAUUCUUUAGUACGUGGAUCUAAGGACUGAAUGCCUGUUACAUUCCAAUCUAUUUCCUGGCAUUCUUUGUGGUUUGAUUCUCCCCCUAAUGCCGGGGAAUGGUCCUCAUCAAAAAUAGAAUCAGCGUAACGGGCAGUAAACAGGUCCCCUGUAAGAGGUUCAAGAUAUUUAAUAAUUGACGGAGAAUUAUAACCCACAUAGAUCCCUAGUUUUCUGUGGGGGCCCAUGGAUGUACGCUGCGGUGGUGAUAUCGGUACGUAUACUGCGCAACCGAAUUUUCGCAGAUGGGAAAUACUUGGCUGAGUGCCACGUACUAGUUGUAGCGGGGAGGUUGUAUGAUAUGCAGUUGGUCUGAUUUGUAUCAGAUCUGCGGCGUGUAAUACCGCAUGUGCCCAACAAGAUGCUGGUAAAUUACAAUUCUGUAAUAGUGGUCGAGCAACUAAUUUUACUCUUUUGAUGAGAGAUUCAGCCAAACCAUUUUGAGAUUCUGCGGCGGUUCUGGCGGUGGUUCCCGGCGAAGAAGCGGCGAUGAGGGCCACUCCGGUUCUGGCGGUGGUUCCUGGUGAAGGAACGGCGGCGAGGGCCAUUCCUUGCACCAAGGCCCUCACGGCGACGUGCAAUGCGGUGGCGCUGCGUGCGAGUGAAGCGGCUGUCUUCUUUCUGCAGGAAACGUGCGAAAGCAAAAGCAAGCGAGGACAAAUCUCUCCCUGCCAUUCUCACCUUUCUCUUGGCUCUCUGUCGCUCUCGGCAGAGCAAGUGCUGAUAACGUGUGAAAAGUAAAAACGAGAGAGAGGAUAAAAAUGAUGGAACCGUUGCUUUCAUUGAUGGAUUGGGAGUAUAUAUACCCCUGGUACAAGGCAGUUACAAAGAGGCAGUUGCUACUAGUAGCAACCGACAUAGCGGGGAUUAACCCUUUAAUUAAUCUAAUUAAUUUAUUUCUAACACUAUUAUUGGAAAACAUGCAUACACAUGCAGAUGUUUGGAUUUUUUCACUGUUUUGACCUUACAUGUAAACAUGAGCACAAAAUGAACUCAGUCUGAAAAUAUUUUUGGAUCUGACCUUUCUUUAAAACGCCAGAGUCCGUCGCGUUGCUGCUCCACGUAGAAACGCCAGACUAACGUGGCGUUUUUGAUCUACAUUCAAACGUCAGUCUACUGGACGUUGCAGCAUAUAUAGAAACGCCAAGUUCAGUCUGUUGUAAGUUGAAUCGAGAGAAACAAAUGAAUCAAUUGUCACUUUAUUCCUUGAUGAUUGAACACUUUAUAUGCCAGGGAAAGACGGUUCCCGGAGGCGACGCUCCAGGAACAAUACGCCGGUUCCGCAUCGUGGGGGGAAUUCACGUGCGGUUACAAGUAGAGAUUAAUUUAACUAAUUACAUAAUUAAUUAAAUUCUAACACUCCCCCUAAUCUAUACUUGUCCAUGAGCGUGUCCAUCAUCUUGAAAUAGUCUCCUCCAAAAACCCUGUGGGAAAAAUAUAAGGAGUGGUGUAGUAUAUGCGGCUAAAACUCCUUCAAACCCUGUGGGGAAAUAAGGAGAAAAUGAUAUAGCAUAUAAUGCGUAUUGCCUCUGUUAACUCUAUAUGAAAUGUAUCCAUAGAAUAAGAGGACAAUAAAUAUGUCGUAUAUACUUUCCUAAAAACCCCGGUGGGGAAAACAGAUAGUAUGACAUAUGAUCUUAUGUUGAUAUUACCUCAUUAAAAACCUCGAUGAGAACCUAUAAAGUAAACUCAUAAAGGGAAAAGAGUGUAAUAUGAUGCUUUGAACAGGAAGAGUUCAGGAAGAGACUCCCCCUGACUCUUGCAAAUCUCGGAGCCGUCGCAUACCAAUUCCAUGAAUGUAUUUCUGGAAUGUUGAAGCUGGUAGAGACUUCGUGAAAAGAUCAGCUAGAUUAUCGCAUGACUUGACUUGCAAGAUGUUGAUUUCACCACUUUUCUGGAGUUCAUGGGGAUAAAACAACUUAGGGGCAAUAUGCUUAGUGAUAUUGCUCUUUAUGUAUCCUGUUUGCAUCUGUGCAACACAAGCCGCAUUAUCUUCAUAGAUAAUGGUAGGUGAUUUGAUAGAACCAAUUCCACGUGACUGUUGUAUGUGGUUUAUCAUUCUGCGAAGCCACGUGCAUUCACGUGAUGCCUCAUAUAAAGCAAUUAUUUCAGAAUGAUUGGUAGAUGUUGCAACUAGGGUCUGUUUUGAAGACUUCCAUGAUAUAGCAGUUCCACCAUGUAGGAACACAAAGCCGGUCUGCGAUCUGGCAUUAUGGGGAUCAGAUAAAUAGCCAGCAUCUGUAUAUCCAAUUAUACCAGAGUCUAGUUUUUUCUGGAACUGAAUAGGCCAAGAUCCUUUGUGCCUUGGAGAUAUCGAAAGACAUUCUUGACUCCCGACCAAUGGCGUUUGGUGGGAGCUGCGCUGUGUCUAGCAAGUAGAUUUACUGCAAAUGCGAGGUCAGGUCUCGUGCAAUUUGCUAGAUACAUAAGCGCUCCAAUUGCACUGAGAUAUGGAACCUCGGGUCCAAAAAUCUCUUCACCAUCAUCCCUUGGCCUGAACGGAUCUUUCUCUACGUCUAGAGAUCGAACCACCAUGGGAGGUUUAGAUGGGUAGGAUUUGUCCAUAUUGAAUUUCUCCAAUAUUUUCUGGAUAUAGGCAGCUUGGUGUACCAUUAUUCCUGAGGUAAGGUGCUCGAGUUGGAGACCCAAGCAAAAUUUGGUUUGGCCCAAAUCCUUCAUCUCAAAUUCCAUCUUUAGGUGAUUGCGUGCUUCAUCAAUAUCUGGUGUACAGCCGAUGAUGUUGAGAUCAUCAACAUACACAGAAAUGAUGCAAAAUCUUGUAGACGACUUCUUGAUGAAGACACAUGGGCAAUCAUCACUAUUGGAGUAACCUUUCUGAAGAAGGAACUCACUUAGUCGGUUGUACCACAUCCGCCCCGACUGUUUUAAGCCAUACAAUGACUUAUUCAGCUUUACACAAUACAUGUUGCGUUUUGCAUUGUUACUCGGGACAGAGAUUCCGUCAGGAACCUUCAUAUAUAUGUCCGAAUCUAGUGACCCGAAAAGAUAUGCGGUCACGACGUCCAUCAACUGCAUGGAUAGACGAUUUUGUACUGCCAUAGAUAUAAGAUAUCGGAAAGUUGUUCCACUCAUUACUGGAGAGUAUGUCUCAUUGAAAUCAAUGCCGGGUUUCUGCGUAAAACCUUGUGCUACGAGCCUUGCUUUAUAUCUCACCACCUCAUUGUCCUCAUUCCGUUUCCGGAGGAAAACCCAUUUGAAUCCCACAGGGAAAACAUUGGGAGGUGUAGGUAUUGCUUCAGUGAAUACCUUCCUUUUGUUAAGCGAGGCAAUUUCUGCUUGGAUUGCAUCCUUCCAUUUAGGCCAGUCGGAGCGCCUUUGGCAUUCGACGAUAGACCUUGGAUCAUGAUCAGUGAUAAGGAUAUCUACAAUCUUUUCAGCAAAAUAUAUGUCGACAGUCGUAGUCUUGCGGUCAAAUGAUUCUCCAGAAUCAACAUAGUUGAUGGAAAUUUCUUGCACCCCUAGAGACUGUUCGUUAUUUCCCAAUACGAUUGAGUCUAGGUGUUCCGAUGUUCCAGCUAGUUUGUGCAUACUGGAGCUGGGUUGUGAAGGUCUCCCUUCCACUGGGUGUAAACUACCCAUAAGGUGUUCAUCAACGUUGAGUUGACUUGCAUUUACUGAUUUUGAGGAUCUUCUCCUCUCUCUCCUUUGCUGCUUGCGAGAAGCAGGUUCCGGGUCAGAGGUCGUACUACUCCCCCUCUUUUUAGGAACAGGGAGUUGAGUGGUUUUAGUUGGUACCUCCACUCUUUCGGGCGCAUUUCUGGCUGGAAUCAAGGAUUUUGUAACACCUUUUAGAUCAGUAAAUGAAUCUGGCAGAUUAUUUGCAAGAUGUUGCAAAUUGAUAAUUUUCCGAACUUGUAGUUCGGUCUCUUGAGUACGUGGAUCAGAGGCUGAAAUGGCAAUGGCAUUCCAAUCAAUUUCCGAGCAUUCUUUCUGGUACUUGAAAUCUCCCCCUAAUGCCGGAAAAUGUUCCUCAUCAAAAAUGCAAUCAGCGUGACGGGCUGUGAAUAGAUCCCCAGUAAGGGGUUCCAGGUACUUGAUAAUCGACGGCGAUCUGUACCCCACAUAGAUCCCAAGUUUCCUGUCUGGGCCCAUGGAUGUCCGCUGUGGUGGUGAGAUUGGGAUGUACGUAGCACAUCCGAACUUACGCAGAUGGGAAAUGCUGGGAGGAUUUCCACGUACCAAUUGCAGAGGGGAAGUACUGUGAUAUGCAGUAGGUCGCAAUUGGAUUAAGUCAGUAGCGUGUAAAAUUGCAUGACCCCAACACGAAGUUGGUAAGCUGCAAUUCAUUAACAAAGGUCUUGCAAUGAGUUUGAUCCUUUUAAUUAGAGAUUCGGCCAAACCAUUUUGAGUAUGAACGUAUGGGACAGAGUGCUGAACUUCAAUCCCCAAGGCCAUGCAAUAGUCAUUGAAAGCACGUGAACAAAAUUCUGCAGCAUUGUCCAUGCGAAUUGAUUUAAUUCAACUUUCUGGAUAAUGGGCCUGUAACUUAAUUACUUCCCGCAUUAUCUUGGCAAAUGCAUGGUUUCGUGUGGAUAGAAGGCACACGUGUGACCAUCGUGUAGAUGCAUCAAUCAGAACCAUGAAAUACCGAAAUGGUCCAGAUAAUGGUUGGAUAGGACCACAAAUGUCACCUUGAAUGCGUUCAAGGAAGUGAAGUGGUUCAGCUUGUAUUUUAAGGUGUGAUGGCCUUAAAAUUAGUUUCCCUGUGGCGCAGGAUGUGCACACAAAGUCUGAUGACUGAGGAAACUUUGACUCGAGCAAAUUAUGACCAAUAGAAUUGCUAGUAAUUUUCCUCAUCAUCCCAACACUGGGGUGGCCAAGGCGAUCAUGCCAAGUUUGGAAUGCAUUAACAUUCUGAAAAAUUACCUUGUAAGCAACAUGUUCUACGGGCUUGAUGUACGUAUAGUACAGUCCGGACGAUAGUGAAGGAAUUUUUUCAAGUACUUGCUUGCCAUAUCCGUAAUCUUUUGUGAAGAGUAGAAACUCUUCUGUGUUGUCCUCAUGGGUUUCAAUGUGAAAACCAUUUUUACGGAUAUCUCAAAAACUGAUUAGGGUACGGGAUGAAUCAGGAUACAGCAAGGCAUCCUCAAUUGUCACUUGUGUACCACCUCGGAGGGUAAAUAUGGCACGUCCAGUGCCAACAAUUACCGUAUCGCGUCCAACGAUUGUCAAAAUAUCUCCAUUCAUCUUUUUCAGAGUCUGAAAAUAUUUCAACUCCCUUGGUAUGGAGUUUGUGGUAGCACUGUCCACAAGGCAUAAUUCCUCUUCCAUCGGAUUGUCCCCAUAGAAAGCUAUAUAUAAAAAUGAGGAAUUUUCAAUAAGAAAGCCUUAUUUCAAUACAUAGAAUACAAUCUUAUUAUAUCAAAGUGCUGAUACAAUAUAUAAAUGACAACAAUACUUAUGUUCUAUUACAAUCAUCACACAUGGAUAUGAUUUAUUUAAUAAAUCGACCACUAAGGAGAUAAUGGGACUAAUCGAAGUCUCCAAACAUGUCGGUUGAGGUGUACUCAACCAUCAUGUUCUCCGUGUCUGUAGGAUCCUCUAAUGUAUGGAGUGUCAUGGUGUUGCUAGAUCCGGGAGGAACAUCUUGCGAACAACCAGCUCCAUUGGUGCCAUCUGGAUGAAGGUUGAAGUUGGCUUGAAACCUUUUCCCUUGAGGUACUUUGCGUCCCUGAGAUUGCUGAUACAGAAUUGCCAGAUGCUUCGGGGUCUUGCACUUAUUGGUAGGAUGCGUGUAGCAUCCACACUUGUCACAAAGCUUAGUUUGGUCAAACUUGGGCUUUGCGGUGCCUUUCCCAUGGUCCGAGUUUCUAGGCUUUCUGUUCCGGUUGCGCUUGCAUUUACCCUUGAAGUUCGAUGGCUUGCCAUGGGACGCACCAUCAAACUUUCGUCUGUUCACGACGUUCAUAUGAACUUCAGGCAGAGGUUGGGAACCAACCGGACGCUGAGAACCAUUCUUAGCGAGUAGCUCAUCAUGCUUUUCAGCCUGAAGUAGGAUAUGAAUGAGGUCGGAAUAGACUUGGUAGUCAUGAGCGCGGUACUGUUGCUGGAGGACCCUUUCAUAUGGGAGCAUAGUAGACAUAGUUUUUUCUAUCUUUUCCGCAUCAGUAGGUUCCUUCCCGCAAAAGCGUAAUUUGGAACAUAUCUUAUGAACCUCGUGAUUGUACGCCCCGAUGGACUUGAAAUCCUGGAGUCGGAUAUGCGUCCAAUCAUGGAGUGCUUCCGGCAGGACAACUGCCUUUUGCUGUUCAUACCUCGUCUUGAGGGCCUGAAACAGAGUAAGUGGGGAUUCCUCCUCCAAAUAUUCAGAUUUGAGAUCUGGGUGGAUAUGGUGCCUUAUGAUGUAUAAGGCGGCAUAUUUCUGUUCAUCUCUCAGCGGCGUGACUCCAUCCGGAAGAGGAUCUUCCGGAGUCUGGAUUGCACACACUAAUCCACGAGAUGCAAGAGCGAUCUUGAUGUCCAUGGCCCAGGUAGGAUAGUUGUGGCCAUUGAGGUCGGGUGCAUCGAACUCUCUUCCAGCCAUUGGUUACCUACAUGGGUAAACCAGAGAUUAUUAAUUUACACCAGGUAAAUUAAAACCUUCAUGGUUACGUUGUAUUGAACGUUGCAAAAUUAAUGAUAACUUCAAGAAAUGGGCUUGAAAUCAUUAGUGUGACUUUCAAAUUGUGAAGUUUGACACAUUGUAGAUACGCCCCAAACGAAAAUUCGGGGUCCAUCUCUCAGAACUAGGGAGUAUAAUCUGAUAAAAUCAGUAGAUACUCAUGUUUCUAGUACCUUAUGUCAUAACUUAAUAAAAUGUAUCGGAGGGCACAAUAUUAAGCAAUCAUCAUAUCAAUAUGAUAGAAUGUAGGCUUAAUCGUAGUGGCGAUAAUCUGCUAUGCAUUAGAUCAACACACUUCUUUGUGGUCCCAAAACAUCAAUUUGAAAGAAAAUCACUUUGGAAUUUUGCAUAUCAACUCGUGCUCGUAUUAAGCCAAAGGCUCAAUUAAGACGAGGGGUUGAUUUUUAUUUGCAAGAAAUUUGAAAUCUCAAUUACAAAUAAUAGAGGUAAUAAAUCUCAACAUGUAGCAAACAUGGAAAUAUAUAUUACAUCACAUAUGUUCUAGAAUACAAAGUACUCUACAGAAAACAAAACAGUACUAGAAAUAGACGUACUGAAAACAGGAAUUAAACAGGAUCUAAGACAGGGAUUAGUCUACUGCUAGAUCUACUGUUGAUAGUACAGGAAGUAAUCUAAAACAGAGAGCAAAUAGUGCUGGAAAAUACUACUAAAGUGUGCUGGAGUGCUGCAAGACCACAUGUGCCAUCGAACCAAGGCCACAUGUGUCCCAAGGAUGUGCACAUGUCGUCUGCAGCGUCCACUUUAUUCAAAUCACGGGAGGAUAAGGCAGAGCCAGCUCUAAAAAAACAAGAGCGGCACCGCAUCAGGCAGAGCCCCGCGCCAGGGAGAACUCCGCGUGUGCUGCUUCACAGCGUUCACCAGGGACGGGCGAGAGAGCCUCCGCCGCGCUCGUCCUCGUCUUCGUCGGAAGGCCCGCCCGGGGGCAAGGAGCGAGGCGAGGUGCCGUCCACGAGCCCAAGGGCGGCCGGGCUCCAGGANGCUCUCCAAACCUGCGGUGGAGAGCAGCGAGGCGGCGACGACGGACGUAGUUCUGCUGCAGGCGGCGAAGGUUCGUCGGCGUUGAGCGAGGCAUCCUUCUCACCUUUUGCUUCUUGCCUGUCGAUCUCAUCGAUCUCGUCGAAAGCACUCUGGAAGAGCAGUGCUGAUAACGUGUUGUAAGUUGAAUCGAGAGAGAGAUAGCGAGAGAAACAAAUGAAUCAAAUGUCACUUUAUUCCUUGAUGAUUGAACACUUUAUAUGCGAGGGAAAGACGGUUCCUGGAGGCGACGCUCCAGGAACAAUACGUCGGUUCCGCAUCGUGGGGGGAAUUCACGUGCGGUUACAUGUAGAAAUUAAUUUAACUAAUUACAUAAUUAAUUAAAUUCUAACACAGUCUACUUAGCGUUUCAGGCUAUGUAGCAACGCCAAGGCGCAUGGCGUUUCAAUGCAUGCGCUACUGUUCGCAGCAUGCAGGCAGGCAUGCACGCAUGCGCCGCUGUUCGCAGCUACUGUUUGCUACUGGUCACUGCCCCUCUCUGCUCGUUUUUGAGUCUUGCAUGCCAGCUACACUGUGUAUGGAGUCUUGCAUGCGAGCUACACUGUGUAUGGGAGAAAAAAUAAUGCCCAGUAAAGAGGAUCGGAGGGAGUACACUGCAUCCAUGCAUGCAGGCAAUGCAGAGGCAGGCACGCACACACACAUAACUAUGGGAUGUGGCUAUGGUGUGGCGUAGAGUAGCAUGGAUGAUGAGCAGGAGUAAAAUAAACUAUUGUUGCUCCUACUGGCACGGUGACACCGGCACAGUAGCUCAUGCAUGGUUAUUUGCCUCAGAAACGCCAACUCGCAUGGCGUUUCACUGAAGGCCAAAAACGCCACACUAUACAGGCAUUUCUUAAUAGGUCUGCAACGCCACGUUAGAGUGGCGUUUCUUAAUAGGGCUGCAACGUCACGGACUAUGGCGUUUUAAGAAAAUGAUCAAAACGUGAAAUUGUUUUCAAACGAGUUCGUUACGUGAUUAUCGUAGCCCCCUCGGAUCAAAACAGUGAAAAAACCCCAGAUGUUUCAAGCUACUGGCUUCCUUUAAUCCUUUCCAACAUGAUUUUUUAGGAACUUAAAAGCAAACAAUUUAAUUGCAAAUCAAUAUAUAUAUGGAUGGUCUGAGCAUCUACAACCACGGAUCCACCCCUCAAAAGUCCGCGGACGCGUCCGCGGACAUAGACCGGGCGCGUCUUAUUUUUUGCCUUUCACAUCUGCGUCUCUCAUAUUCGAAACCUCAUAUCCAUACAAAUGCAUGCAACGUCACGUAAAACAAGAGAUAACCAUUCUCCAUUGGAUUGGAUUGAUUCGUCGAACAAAAGCAUCAUAGUUCAUCGAACUUCAUCGGCAAAUUAAUACUAGAAACUACUUAAGCAUAAUUAAAAUGUACACAACACGGGGCGCUCACGGUCGAACGUCGCGCGGCCAGCGCCUCCCCCUUUCCCUCUCCCAUUGCCGCUCUAGACGCGCUGCACGCGUCUUGGACUCCGACGUCCUCUCGCGCCCCGUCCCCGACACGGGCACGAGGACCUAGCGUGGCCGGGUACCGCUUUCGAAGCAGAAGGUGGUGGAGGUGGGCAACGUACCUAACCUGGAGCGGACCGGCCGGAGCGGGAGCGACCAAAGCUGUAUGCCUUGCGGGAAGGGCCUGCUACGUCGGCGUGCGAUGAGCCCGAAGGAUGUAGGACCACAGUCGGGGCCGCCUUGGUCCUGCAGCAACCGGCGUAACGCGAUACGGAGGGCCACCUCCUCUACAUCGACGUUUGAUCCAUCAGAGUUGCUUCUGUCGCCGAUCAUCGGGUCGGAGGGUGGGGGAUUUGAAGUGGAGUGGACAGAGAGUGAACUGCUGGAUGUCUAGAGUUUUUGGAUUGGGGUAUUUAGUGGGUCCGUGGUGGGCGGGCUAACAUGGCCACGGGGUCGACGGUGGGCCAGACCUGACAGACGGGGCAUGCCCAGGCGCGCCCGGGCUUUCCCAUAUCCGUCCUAUAUUUGAAAUGGACAUGAGGAGUACCGCUCAGUCUAGACGUUUGAGACGAGUUUGAGAGACUCGUCUGGAUCGAAUUUUUGUGACCGGACAAUGACCGGACGGCCAGCCCGAUAUUUUAAGGAGCAUUUAAAGGGUCUGGCUAUAGAUACUCUAAUACUCUCUUGGACCCUUUUAUACGUUUUAAAAACCAUAAAGUUGAUCGUUCAAUUUCUGGGAGCAGUCGUUCAUAUGAAAACACCCUCGUUAUCGGACUAAGGCGGCCACCAUAUUCUUUACCAAAGUGUUCAUGUGUUUUCCUAUUUUUUGUAUCACGUUUCCUGACUUAUCCGUCCUGGUGCGGCCGUCGUGGGUGAUGCAUGAGAGCCAAUGGUUUUAGUACCACAUAUGGUGUUCUUGUGGAUAGGUAUCUUAUGUUUAACUUGUCUUGAGAGAUGUGACGGUGUUAAUGAUGUCUACAUGCUCUUUUUUGUCCGUUCUUCCUUUUUUCUACUAUGAUAUUUAUCUUUUUCCUUAAUAAUAUGAAGGUAAAUUUAUUGAUGCCAGUUUGCCAUGUGUGGGAUGUCUACCUCACAACAAAAUAUUCAACGGCAUUAGUUUCCCCAACUCUUAGGGCAGAUGGCUCAUAUGGCUUGAAGACCUAUGAGGUUAGUCGAGGUUAUGUAGGUUUUUUUUUGGUUUUAAUUAUUAGGAUAUACCUUGUGAGGGCUUCGGUUGCCUUUGUUAUUCACUUCAAUCAAAUGUGCCAUUUUUAUGAAACAAGCUCCUUAUGUUCUUCUUAAUAACAAAUGAAUCGAGGUGGUCUUUGAAGGCAUCUUCGGGUGGAAUGGACGAUGCGGCUUGGUGUCUUGGUCCUAUGGCUCCUUCACGAGCGGCGAUGUUUGGCAUGCUUCUAGUAGCUUGUGGUGUAAUCUCACUUCAUAUCUGUCUGGUGUAAUUUGUAGUAGUCGCUCUACCUUCUUCGUCCUCUUCUUCUCUAGGAUGGCGAAUUAUUUCGCAGAUCUUGCUGGCGUUGGCGUUUGCUUCCUCCGACCAUCGACUUCCUAGUUGUUGCUUAACAAUGUCCUCCUGACAUUGAUGGGUUUUGAAGGUAAAGAGAAAGCAUCGAGCUUUUCUCACGGUGCGCCGCUCGCGAGUUCACCAGAAAGAUGACGACGAUUUGUCCAAAGACAAGUGUGUAACUAUUAAUUUCUAUAAGAAUGACCUUUAAGGGUUUGUGGACUUCAAUAUAUGGUCUUUGGCCUUCUUAUGGAAUUGUUUGUUUGAAUAUGCCGAAAAGAAAUCAUAAACUUGUGGGUCACACACAUAUUUCCCCAAGGAAUUAAGCUCCACGAAAUUCCAUUUUGCAGUUCGGAGCAAAGCCACAAUGCAAGAGAGAGAUCUAAUACCAUGUACCAAACAAUCUAAGAAUGAAAAUAUGAUGGUCGCACUUGAAAGCAAGUUAUAAUUAUCAUAACAUGAAAACUAUUAGUGCAAAAGCCCCUCAAAGGUUAUAAAAGUCCAUAAACCGCCUAAUCGACACCACCAUGUAAAACUUUCUUGUGCUUUCACUCCCACCCUCCUUUAUUAGCAACAAAGAGUGUUAAACAAUUGAGAGCAUCUCAAACAGCAGCUGCAAAAACCGCACACGCGGGGAAAAUAGUCUUUUAGCACGUGUGGGGCGGUUGCGUGCGCUCCAGCAGCCGCGGAAUAAUCGGCCGCGCGGGAAAAGGUAGCCCGCCGCGCGAUAGAUUUGGCGUGCAGCGCUCGGCGCGCCCUAUAAAUGCAGUACUCGACCACGCGUCCUUCCACCGCUCUCACUCGCCUCUCUCCCGCCACGCGUCCUCUGUCGAUGUCUCUCUCGCCUCGUCGCCCUCGCGCCGUCGCGGAACUUCGGGAUACCGUGACGUCCGUUCUGCGCUUCGCCAAGAUCCGCUCCGGCGACAUGCGCCUUGGCCUCGACACGUUCGACGCCGCCGACGAUGACGUCCGUGCGUAUGACGCGGCAGCGUUGCGCCUCAACAUGCCUCUUAGGGAGAUGAAUUUCCCCGAGGUGAUGACGCUGGAGUGGGCGCAGAACCCCACGCCUCGUCCAUAGGUUGUCACCGAAGAGGACCAUCGUCGGAACCGGAGGCGGGAGCGCCGCCUCAGCAUUGUUGAGAUGGACGAGCAUGCCAUGACAGAGUGGCGCCGACAGUUCCUGCAGGACGACCUCGAUGAGCGCUAAUUCUUCACGCAAAGGAGGAUGGAGCAAGCCGCCUAUCGUGAAGAUAGGCGUACGCGGAAGCAAGCUGCACUGUUCUAGAUGGAGCUGAAGGAAUCGUCGAUUUGGCCCUCCGACGAUGAACGCUGGGCUGACACCUUCAUCAUGACGGAGGAAUAGGAUACCGGCCCGUCGGAAUCCGAUAACGACGACGAAUAGUCUUCUAUCUAUCUAGACUAUCUAUGGUUUGUAUGUACCUUUUUUUAUCGUUUUCUAUCUAUCUAGGCUAUCUAUGUUAUGUAUCAUUUAUUAAAAAUUAUGCUAUGUAUCGUUAUGUAUCGUUUAAAAAUAUACUAUGAUCAAAAAUGCAUAUUGCAAGCGCUGAAGUUUUUACGCGUUUGCUGGAGUGUCCCGCGCGCGUCAAAUUUUGCGACUUACGCUCGAGCCAGCGUUUGCUGGCGCGCUAAAAUUUGUUGUCUACAUGAUGUAAACUCACUUUUUAUGCGCCGUGCGUUGCGCACGUGUUGGAGAUGCUGUGACACAGAUAGAAACUAUGCAAUUAAGAAAUUACAACCUUCCAAAUUAGAGCUGAGCAAUCCAUGGUUAUACCACGAAGUUACAAUAGUUAUCUCUAUAAACCAACCCACUAAAAAAUAAACAAAAGGGAAAAAGCAAUACGCCAGACCAUCCUACAAAAAUGAGACGGUCUCUUGAUAAUUAGUUAUCCAUAGUAUUAAAUAGAUCUUUUUUUUCUUUAGGAACUCUACAAAGGGCUAUAAAAAUUACAUUGCCAUGUUCAUUUUAGUUAUAUUAUUUUCAAUAAUUUUAAUAAAAAAGAAGAAAAUCCUUUUUUUUCUUGCUAAAAAUUGGCAUUGGCCGAGAGUGAAUCAAAUGAAUUUUCUCUUUAGUUGGCAUUUCUAUAUAGAACUUAAUAUAAUAAAACAAUCAAGUUACACAUAGAACACUUUUUUGUCGAUUAUAUUCAUCAAGAAAGCAAAACUGACCAACUUGUGUUGUAACAGAUCAGCUAAAACAAUAACUAACUCAGACUAGGCCCAUAUAUAUAUUGUUUAUUAUACUGUAUAUGUCGAUAUCAUCUGAAUGCGGAUUAAAGUUACUUCGAGAAAAUAAACGAAUAAUGGGUACGGGCAUACGGUACCUGUUGUGGCAGAAAUAAAAUCGUUGCAUGUGACUGAAGUAAUCGUCGGCUAUUGGAGGUGUGGGAAAAUUGCAGCGAAUCUGAUCUGCUGAAUAAUUAAAGCAUCAUUUUAUAGCAAAGUUGAUUUAGUAGUGAUCACGAUGUCCAACGACUUCAAGCUAACAGCGAUAUGCUCCACACAUAUAUAGUUUCUUUUGGGGAAGAAUAUACACACUAGUGAGGACGGGGCCUUUAGCCCCGGCCCGUAAGGGGCUUUAGUUCUGGUUCACCAAUCGGGACUAAAGGGCGGGACUAAAGGGCCAACCUUUAGUCCCGGCCCUGUAAGGUGCUUCACGUGGGCGCCUCGUAGCGCUUCAUGGGCAGACCCUUUAGUCCCGGUCCGUGUACGGACCGGGACUAAAGAAUUUCAGAUUUUUUUUUUUGAAUGAAAUUAGUUUUGGGUUUUAGGGUUUUAGGGUUUAGGUGUUCGGAAGAUUAACGUGAUGCCUCGUUUGGUGUUCGGUAAUUAGUUUUCAUACAAUUUAAAUAGAAAUAAUUAUGCAUAUAUAUAUAUAAGAUUUACUUAUCUUACAAGCGAGCAUAUAUAUACAAUUAUAUGGAGAUCUGAAUUAUCGGGACUAGAGCCCGUCUAUUCGAUUACAUGGACGAACAUCAGUAAUGGCCCCUAGCUACACUAAAUCGUCUAUAGCUCCGUCCUCAGAAAGGUCGCAAGCUCCUCUGCAACAGCAAUCGCGCGUUGCUCUGGUAGGACCUUCGUCCUCAUGGCCGUGUACUAUAUAAGAAGAGGAGAUGAAUAUGAAUAUCAAUCAUGACAACAAAGAAUGACGGGUAAAAAUAGAGGUGUGAAUGUUCAUUGCUUACGUCGAAUCUGUGAUCCUUGUGCUCAGAGGUAAACGUACGAAUGGUCUCGCAAACAUAGUAUCCGCAUAGAUGCGUUCCCCGUAGCUGCUGGUCGCACUUUCCGAGAAUAGAAUAUAUAUAAUCAAAAUAAUAAUCUAGCAUCAUAAAUGUAUUGAAAAUAGAAGUAUAUCAUACUACUACUUACCUGGGCCACUCUAAAGGUCAGCUUCUCAGGCUCGAUACCGGGAGUCACGCACUUGAACCGCUUCCAAACCCUGCCCGACAAGGAUAAUGAUUUGCUAAGUUUUUCAUUAAUUGAUAUAUCAGAAAAUCAUCGAAAGAGACCGAUAGAGCGCAAGAAUGAUUGAAAUUACCCUUGGAGCAUGUCCUGCAGGCUUUGGAACUGUUCCAAGGGUCUCGAUAAUGGGUCGAAGGCAUCGACUCUUCCCUUAUCAACUUGAGCAUAGUAUUCAAAGUAGGAGUACUUUUCCAAUUUGAGCAUUCAAUAAGCAAAACCAAAUCCUAAAAUAAAGUAGUAUUCAAAUUAGCAUGCAUUCAAUUAUAAGCAAAUACAUCAUCUCUUUUGUCCGUACAUCGUCGAAUAUUAUCACUAAUACUCCUCGAAUACUAUCAUACAUAUAGCAUCACUGAUACAUCUAGAAAGUAGCGCCCGACGGGUAUCGGCGCGGGCGGUGGACACCCAAAGAGAAGGAACCAUCACAGGAUCAUAGCUCCAGUGAGAUCCCCGAAGAACCUGCCAGGUAUGCUCGAACCUGCCCUCCAACGCAACCAUGUAGCGACGGACGUGCUCAUCCUCCUCGCUGACACGGUGACGUACCACCUCCGCGGUGUCCGGAAGCCUCGGCACCCUCACUGGCCCACGCGACCGCCACCAAACAAGGAUCGGGUCAACGACGGGCUGGCUCCUCACCAACCUACGCCCCCGGAAGGUAGCACCUCCCAAUACCAGCCGGGCGGAGCCCAGUCCCGGACAGGGCCCCUCUGAUCAAGCAGGUGUCCUCCGCCGAGUCGACGACGAGGAUGCGGGAUAGGCAUUGUAAAAUAAACUAAAAAAUAAACUAGUUCUAUUAAUUUUCUUGCUAAAAAUAAACUAUUAACACUUAAGCAUGUAUAAUAGCAAAAUUAAACUAUUAACACUUAAUCAUAUACAAUAGCAAAAUUAAGCAAUAAUCUAAGAAACACUAUUAACAUUUAGGCAUAUACACUAUACAAUAGCAAAAUUAAAUGAAAAAAAAAUAUUUCUUCUUCUUGUAACCCUAAACUAAUUUUUUCUCUUCUUCUAUUUCUCCUCUUCUUCUACUUCUCCUCUUCUUCUACUACUUCUCCUCUUCUCUUCUUCUACUUCUCCUCUCCUCCUCUUCUAAUUUUUUCUCUUCUUCUACUUCUCCUCUUCUUCUAUUUUUCCGCUUCUUCUCCUCUCCUCCUCUUCUUAUUCUCCUUUUUCUUCUUUUCUUCUCCUCAUCUUCUUAUUUUCCUUUUUCCUAAUUCUAAAUAUUACUAACCCUAAUAAUCUAGCACAAACCUAAUAACAAUAGGAAUUAAAUGACAAAAAAAAUCUGUUUCNNNNNNNNNNNNNNNNNNNNNNNNNNNNNNNNNNNNNNNNNNNNNNNNNNNNNNNNNNNNNNNNNNNNNNNNNNNNNNNNNNNNNNNNNNNNNNNNNNNNNNNNNNNCAUAUUUGAGAAUUUGACAAAACUAUGAUAAUGAAAAGUGUUUGACAUUGAAUAAAUAAUGCAAAACUAUUUUCUAUUUUCAAAAGUAAUUAUUUUGACUAUCCAAACUAUUAUCUAUUUUUCUAUUUUCAAUUAAAAAAUAUGUUUAUUAAAAUUCUUUUUGCAUAUUUGAGAAUCUGACAAAACUAUGAUAAUGAAAAGUGUUUGAAAUUGAAUAAAUAAUGCAAAACUAUUUUCUAUUUUCAAAAGUAAUUAUUUUGACUAUCCAAACUAUUAUCUAUUUUGUUAUUUUCAAUUAAAAACUAUGUUUAUUAAAAAUUCUUUUUACAUAUUUGAGAAUUUGACAAAACUAUGAUAAUGAAAAGUGUUUGAAAUUGAAUAAAUAAUGCAAAACUAUUUUCUAUUUUCAAAAGUAAUUAUUUUGACUAUCCAAAAUAUUAACUAUUUUGUUAUUUUCAAUUAAAAACUAUGUUUAUUAAAAUUCUUUUUGCAUAUUUGAAAAUUUGACAAAACUAUGAUAAUGAAAAGUGUUUGAAAUUGAAUAAAUAAUGCAAAACUAUUUUCUAUUUUUAAAAGUAGAAGCGACCCCCACAAUAAGAGACGACAUUCUUCUUCUCUCAUAUAUGGUGGACACUAGCUCAACCAUCGAUGAUGGUCGCUACUCCUACUUCCCCUAGUGCAUAACCAAUAUCUAGCACAAGGAGAAGAAGGAGAAACGACCCCCACAGCAACAGUCGACAUUCUUCUUCUCUCAUGUAUGGUGGACACUCCCUCACCUGAUUUUUCGACCGUCGAUGAUGGUCGCUACUCCUUCUUCCCCUAGUGCAUAACAAAUAUCUAGCACAAAGAGAAGAAGGAGAAGCAACCCCCACAACAACAGUCGGCAUUCUUCUUCUCUCAUGUAUGGUGGACACUCCCUCACCUGAAUUUUUGACCGUCGAUGAUGGUCGCUAUUCCUUAUUUCCCUAAUGCAUAACAAAUAUCUAGCACAAGGAGAAGAAGGAAAAGCGACCCCACAACAAAAGUGGUUCCGCGGCACGCCACGUGGUUCCGCUGCACGCCACGUGGGACUAAUGGUCUUUCUUUCCAGCACNNNNNNNNNNNNNNNNNNNNNNNNNNNNNNNNNNNNNNNNNNNNNNNNNNNNNNNNNNNNNNNNNNNNNNNNNNNNNNNNNNNNNNNNNNNNNNNNNNNNUUUGAAAAUAGAAAAUAGUUUUGCAUUAUUUAUUCAAUUUCAAACACUUUUCAUUAUCAUAGUUUUGUCAGAUUCUCAAAUAUGCAAAAAGAAUUUUAAUAAACAUAUUUUUUAAUUGAAAAUAGAAAAAUAGAUAAUAGUUUGGAUAGUCAAAAUAAUUACUUUUGAAAAUAGAAAAUAGUUUUGCAUUAUUUAUUCAAUGUCAAACACUUUUCAUUAUCAUAGUUUUGUCAAAUUCUCAAAUAUGCAAAAAGAAUUUUUAAUAAACAUAGUUUUUAAUUGAAAAUAACAAAAUAGAUAAUAGUUUGGAUAGUCAAAAUUAUUAAUUAUGAAAAUAGAAAAAAAUUGAAACUAUAUGAGAAUUUAUAGAGAAAAUUCAAUCUAAAUUCAAACUGAACUCACUUUGAAUUCAGGUUGAAUUUUCUCCAUAAUUUCGAAUAUAGUUUCAAUUUUCAGUGAGUUUAGGUCCGUAAGCCUGCUUUAGAGAGGAGCUCGAUGGAGAAGCUGCGACGGGGCUUAUAAACAAGUGUUAGUCCCCCUCGCUGGGCGAGGUGGGACUAAACUUAUCGUGCAACCCAGGAGGGGCUUUAGUCCCGGGUGGAGCCACGCCCCGGGACUAAAGCCCCUCGCCUGCCGCCUGCCGAGGAGGGGCUUUAGUCCCGAUGCGUGGCUCCACCCGGGACUAAAGGCCCCUGCUUCCCGCCUUCUGGUCUGCCCGAAAAGAGGCCUUUAGUCCCGGGUCGUGGCUCCACCCGGGACUAAAGGGGGUCUUUAGUCCCGGUUGGAGCCACGCACCGGGGCUAAAGAUCCACCUAUAUAAGCGGGACUUUGAAAAAUUCCCACCCAAAUCGUCCAUUUCUCUUCUUCUUCCUCUCGUUCUCUGCCCGGCGCGGCACAGCGACGAACUCGACGACGCCGUCACGCUGCCCACCGUNNNNNNNNNNNNNNNNNNNNNNNNNNNNNNNNNNNNNNNNNNNNNNNNNNNNNNNNNNNNNNNNNNNNNNNNNNNNNNNNNNNNNNNNNNNNNNNNNNNNGAAUUCAAAUUCUAUUCAUACUUCAAUUCGCUAUAACUUGCGUUGUAGUGCUGCAUUUCAAGAAAUUCUUUCUACAAAUAAAUUCUUAUGCCUUAUAUUAUUUGUCAAACAACAUUCAUGUUGUUCUCCCAAUAUUUUUUAUCAUAUCCCAUAGUGUAUGCAAGUCGAGCUUAUAUAGCGAUAGUUGAUCAUCCUUUGACUCUUUUGAGUUGACCCCUUUCACCUUUCCUUUACAACACACCUAGGACCUAUUUUUUUAUUAAACCUUAGUAUGUUGUUAUUUUGCACAAAGACAUGUUUUGUUCUUAUGUUCUUUUGGUUCUUCCUUUUUGGCAUGAAUGUUUAUUGAAUGCUAUUCGUUUACGAUAGAUUGCUUGGAGUGUGGCGAGUAGAAUUAUCAAGAUUUUGAGAGCGACUAUCUUCAUCAAGUAAUACCAGGCAAGUCAUUUGAUCAUGUAUCACCUAUGUUUUAUGCAUCGUAGUUCUACCAUCCUAUGCCCAAUUUGCAUGCUGACUAGGUACUUGGAAAUUAUGGUUACAUAUUGUAGUAUCAUGUGGUAGGCACCCAACAACCCCAUUACUUGGCCCGGGACGACAAAUUUCAUAUUGCUAUGCUUGAGUAGACGGGAUUCUGGUUGAGAGUUUAUCACGAGUGAUGCGAUAAUAAUUUAAUAACCAAGACCGGUUAAGUCAAGACUUUUCAAGAUCUCGUGAUGCAAUGCAACUCUGGGUGAAGGACGGUUGAUCGGCUCCCUGGAGAAACCAGUGGAUGACCCGGGAUGCUGGAGACGUGCCAUGACAUCUUGCGGAAAGCUUCACCCAGGCUCAAAGAGACGGACGGAUAUUUUCAAGACCCAAGGCUUACCUGCACAACCACAAGUCAUUAUGGGCUCUGUCUUGGUUGGACAACGCGGCGACUCUGGACAGGCGGUGCCAGCAGAUGUAGAAGAACGGUAGGAUUGGAUGGGCACCGACAGGGAUUCAGAGGGACCCGUUGAAAGACCAUGUUUUGAUCAUCCGGUCUUCAAACACCCUGAAGUGCGAGGACAUACAUGGAGGCGAUCAAAUCUUGUGGGGAACGUUUGCAAAACUCUCCAGAGUACUCAAACCUAAUCGAUUAGCCGUGUCCACGGUCAUGGACAACUUGAGCCAAAGGAACUGAAGUUAUCUGAAAUUCUCAACACCAUUAUAUAUAUUUGAUGUGGGUAAUAUUGUUAACUUGGGUAUGAGAAAUGGUUGGCGGAACCAUCUUAUUAAAAACAGCAGCGUAGUAAUAUUUUGCUUUUUAGCCCCUCUCUUGUUGUAGGAGAAAACUUUGCUUUCCGCUAAAAACUUACAACCCCACCUGCCAUAUAUGCAUAUAGUAUAGAUGAUAUUUUACCCCCCUCUCAUAUGUGACUUGCCGGCAUAUUCAANNNNNNNNNNNNNNNNNNNNNNNNNNNNNNNNNNNNNNNNNNNNNNNNNNNNNNNNNNNNNNNNNNNNNNNNNNNNNNNNNNNNNNNNNNNNNNNNNNNNGUGCCUUCAAGGCAGGCGUGCGGUACAGAGAUCUGUACCUGAAGUUCGGUCGAACAGGCGACAUCUCCAUGAGCAAGAUGAUGGAGAUAGCCGCACGCUAUGCAAAUGGCGAAGAAGAGGACGCAUAUGUAGCGGCAAGCAUAAGGCAGUCGCCGAUGGAGACGGGAACAACAAUCGGAAGCAGAAGCAGAAAGCUCCGUCCACUCCGCAGGCAGAGGCAGCAGCCGUUACCAAUGCCAAGUUCAAGGGUAAGGGGAAAGCUUAGUACACCCCUAAGAAGAGACAGUUCGGGAAUUCCAUCCUGGAUCAGCCAUGUCCAAUCCACACGAAGAUGGACGAAGAAGGCAACGCCAUAUUCCCGAAGCACACCACUCGGCAAUGUCACCUCCUGAUCCAAGGGUUCGGCGAAGGGCAGCCGAGUGAAAAGGACAACGAGCAGGAUGAUGAGGACAAGGAGGAUCCAUUCCCCCAAGUCCAUGCAACAUUGAUGAUUUUUGCUGACGUGGAAAGCAAGAGUCGAUUGAAGCUGGUGAACACGGAGGUGAACAUGGCAACCCCAACCAACCCCACGUUCCUCAAAUGGUCUCAGACUGCGAUCACCUUCGAUCAGUCGGAUCAUCCAGCACACGUGCCCACCCCAGGGAUGCAAGCUCUGGUCGUCAACCCGGUGGUGGAAGGAGUCCGACUGCACAAAGUCCUCAUGGACGGCGGCAGCGGCUUGAACAUCAUGUACGCCGACACUCUCGAGGGGAUGGGCAUUCCGAUUUCCAAACUUAGCGAGAGCAGCAUGCAGUUCCACGGAGUCAUCCUAGGACGAAAGGCCAAGUCACUCGGCCAGAUCGCGUUGGACGUCGUUUUCGGCUCCGACAAGAACUUCCACAAGGAAAAGCUGACAUUCGAGGUGGUGGACUUCCAGAGUGCAUACCAUGCGAUUCUGGGCCGUCCGGCGUAUGCGCGUUUCAUGGCCCGUCCAUGUUACGUGUAUUUGAAGCUGAAGAUGCCAGGUCCCAAAGGUGUGAUCACGAUCACAGGCAAUCGGUAGCGGGCCGAGGAGUGUCUGCAGCAGGGGCCAAGGAUUGCCGAUCAGCAAAUGGCUAUCCUCGAGCUGGAUGAGUACAAGAAGACAGCCGACCCCGCUGACUUGAUGCGUUCGAAGAAGCCAGCUUCGGAGUCCGCAUUCCAGUCGGCAGGAGACACGAAGAAAGUCAGCAUCCACCCGACGGACGACGCCGCUGCCCCGACAAACAUCUCCACCACCCUUGAUCCAAAAUAGGAAGCCGAGCUCAUCCAAUUCCUCCGUGAGAACUGGGACAUUUUUGCAUGGAAGCCCGCUGACAUGCCAGGUGUACCCAGGGAGUUGGCUGAGCACCGACUGCAUGUGGAUCCUGCUGCUCGGCCCGUCCGAGAACGCCUGCGUCAGUCCGCCGCGCACAAAAGGUAGGCAAUCGGAGAGGAGGUGGCUAAACUUUUGGCAGACAACUUCAUUCGCGAGGUACACCACUCCGAGUGGCUCGCCAAUGUUGUCAUGGUGCCCAAGAAGGACAAGUCCCUCCGUAUGUUCAUCGACUUCAAGCAUCUCAGUAAGGUCUACCCGAAAGAUCAUUUCCCGCUCCCCCGCAUUGAUCAAAUUGUCGAUUCGACUGCGGGUUGCGAUCAUUUAUCAUUCCUUGAUUCCUAUUCGGGCUAUCAUCAGAUCCGUCUAUAUGGUCCGGAUGAAUUAAAAACAGCCUUCCUCACCCCAUUCGGGUGCUUCUGCUACAUCACUAUGCCAUUCGGUUUGAAGAAUGCAGGAGCAACUUUUAUGUGCAUGACCCAAAAAUGCCUCCUUGACCAGAUCGGUCGAAAUGUGGAGGCAUAUAUGGACGAUAUCGUAGUCAAGUCACGCAAAGGUUCUGACCUGCUGACUGACUUGGCAGAAACAUUCGCCAACCUGCGUAGGUACGAUAUCAAGCUCAACCCAGCCAAGUGUUCAUUCGGCAUUCCUAGCGGGAAGUUACUCGGUUUCUUCGUUUCCGAACGAGGGAUCGAUGUCAACCCCGAAAAGAUCGGGACCAUCGUCCGAAUGGAACGGCCGGUCAGAAUACAUGAUGUUCAAAGGCUCACAAGUUGCCUAGCGGCUUUGAGCAGGUUUAUCACUCGACUCGGCGAGAAGGCGCUACCUCUGUACCGACUCAUGAAGAAAUCAGAUACUUUCGAGUGGACAGACGAAGCCCAAAUUGCAUUCGACAACCUCAAAGCCCUGCUUUCCACCCAGCCGGUUCUUACUGCCCCGCUCAGCAAAGAACCCCUUCUUCUGUACAUCGCGGUUACAAAUCAAGUCGUCAGCAUUGUUCUCACAGUCGAACGCGAAGAAGAAGGCAAAGCGUACAAGGUUCAGCGGCCAGUAUAUUAUGUCUCCGAAGUCCUCACUCCUUCCAAGCAGGGGUAUCCCCAUUAUCAAAAGCUUAUUUAUGGGAUAUACAUGACUGCAAAGAAGGUGGCUCAUUAUUUCCAAGACCACUCGGUGUGUGUCAUUUCUGAUGCUCCGUUGUUGGAAAUCCUCCACAAUCGGGACGCAUCAGGCCGAGUGGCGAAGUGGGCAAUGGAGAUGUUAUACUGCGACAUCAAGUUCGAAGCCAAGAAGGCUAUAAAGUCUCAAGCUCUGGCUGACUUCAUAGCAGAAUGGGUAGAACAACAACAACCAACUCACAUCUACUCGGCUCAUUGGACCAUGUUCUUCGAUGGGUCCAAGAUGUUGAAUGGCUCCGGCGCUGGCGUAGUGAUCAUAUCGCCAAAGGGUGAUAAACUCAAGUAUGUGUUGCAGAUACAUUUCGAUUCUUCCAACAAUGAGGCAGAGUACGAAGCUCUCCUUUAUGGAUUGCGCAUGGCCAUCACACUCGGCGUCCGUCGCCUGAUGGUCUAUGGCGAUUCAGAUCUGGUGGUUAAUCAAGUGAUGAAAGAAUGGGAUGUAAGGAACCCCACCAUGACCGCAUACUGCAACGCAGUAAGGAAGCUCGAGAAGAAGUUUGAAGGUCUGGAACUUCACCAUGUUCCCCGACUGAAAAACCAAGCAGCUGAUGAGUUGGCAAAACUCGGAUCCACUCGAAGACCAGUCCCGAGUGAUGUCUGCCUCGAGCACCUACAUCUCCCUUCGGUGAAAGAAGAUCCUUUCACAGAAGAACCGGUACAACCGAAGAGCUCAACAGAUCCGACUGAAGUCGAGGUCCCUGCUAUGGUUGAUUUGAUCAUGGAGAUUCUUGCUCUCAUCCCCGAUUGGACUGUGCCGUUCAUUGCGUACAUCCUGAGGCAAGAAUUACGAGAAGACGAAGUCCAAGCUAGGCAGAUCGUCCGCAGGUCAAAGUCCUUCACCGUCAUUGAUGGCCAGUUGUACAAGGAAAGUGUUUCACGCGUCCUUUAGCGGUGCAUCUCCCAUGAAGAGGGACAGUUAAUCCUGGAAGAAAUUCACUCGGGAACGUGCGGCCAUCAUGCUUCCUCAAGAGCAAUCGUCGCCAAAGCAUUUAGAGCUGGUUUCUUCUGGUUGCACGCGAAUGAAAUGGCAAAAGAUAUGGUCGACCGAUGCGAAGGCUGUCAGUUCUAUUCGAACAAGUCCCAAAAGCCAACAUCUGCGCUGAAGACAAUCCCUCUUGUUUGGCCGUUCGCAGUGUGGGGAUUAGAUACAGUCGGACCAUUCAGAACAGGCCAAGGGGGAUUCACUCAUCUGUUGGUAGUAGUCGACAAGUUCACCAAGUGGAUUGAAGCCAAGCCCAUCAAGAAGCUCGACGCCCUUACGGCCAUCAAAUUUUUCAGAGACAUCAUCGCCAGAUUCGGGGUUCCGCAGAGCAUAAUCAUCGACAAUGGCAUAAACUCUGACUCGGACAGAUUCAAAGGUUUUCACACAGGUCAAGGUAUCCGAGUGGAUUUUGCAUCUGUGGCGCAUCCCCAAACAAACGGGCAAGCAGAGCGGGCGAAUGGGCUUAUUCUUCAAGGGUUGAAGCCUCGACUCCUGCGAGAAGUUGGACAUGCCGCCGGCGCAUGGGUCACCGAACUGCCUUCGGUGUUGUGGGGCCUCCGCACAACUCCGAAUAGAUCUACAGGGCGAUCCCCGUUCUUCCUCGUUUAUGGAGCAGAGGCGGUCCUUCCGAGUGACUUGCUUCACAACUCUCCACGAGUCGAACUCUUCUCCGAAGCCGAAGCAGAGCAAGCUAGGCAAGACGGAGUGGAUCUUCUCGAAUAAGAGCGCGAGAUGGCACUGACCCGCUCAACAAUUUAUCAACAAGAUCUGCGGCGAUUUCACGCGCGACACGUCAGGAGUCACACAUUCCAAGCAGGCGACCUGGUGCUCCGAGUGGAUCAGCAGAGACCACACAAGUUGGCUCCCGCCUGGGAAGGACCCUUCAUCAUCUCUAAGGUGUUGAACAAUGGGGCGUAUCGACUUUACAACCUCGACAGGGAAACGGACGAGCCGCGGGCGUGGAACAGAGAUCUCCUGAAGCGCUUCUACACAUGACCGCCGACGAGGACAAUGUAAAGAACAAGUAUCAUUGAAGUAAUACAAAGCAGAUUGAUUUCUUGCAGGUUCAAAAUUCUUCCACGUUUGCAGACUCCGGUCUAAAUUUUUUUUUCUNNNNNNNNNNNNNNNNNNNNNNNNNNNNNNNNNNNNNNNNNNNNNNNNNNNNNNNNNNNNNNNNNNNNNNNNNNNNNNNNNNNNNNNNNNNNNNNNNNNNGAGAAAUUCUUCUUCGUCAACAUCGCCAGGCAAGUCAUUUGAUCAUGUAUCACCUAUGUUUUAUGCAUCGUAGUUCUACCAUCCUAUGCCCAUUUGCAUGCUGAGUAGGUACUUGGAAAUUAUGGUUACAUAUUGUAGUAUCAUGUGGUAGGCACCCAACAACCCCGUUACUUGGCCCGGGACGACCAAUUUCGUAUUGCUAUGCUUGAGUAGACGGGAUUCUGGUUGAGAGUUUAUCACGAGUGAUGCGAGAGUAAUUUAAUAACCAAGACUGGUUAAGUCAAGACUGUUCAAGACCUCGUGAUGCAAUGCAACUCUGGGUGCAGGACGGUUGAUCGGCUCCCUAGAGAAACCAGUGGAUGACCCGGGAUGCUGGAGAUGGCCAUGACAUCUUGCGGAAAGCUUCACCCAGGAUCAAAGAGACGGACGGAUAUUUUCAAGACCCAAGGCUUACCUGCACAGCCACAAGUCAUUAUGGGCUCUGGCUUGGUUGGACAAUGCGGCGACUCUCGACAGGCGGUGCUAGCAGAUGUAGAAGAACGGUAGGAUUGCAUGGGCACCAAUAGGGAUUCAGAGAGACCCGUUGAAAGACCAUGUUUUGAUCAUCCGGUCUUCAAACACCCUGAAGUGCGAGGACAUACUCGGAGGUGAUCAAAUCUUGUGGGGAACGUGUGCAAAACUCUGCAGAGUACUCAAACCUAAUCGAUUAGCCGUGUCCACGGUCAUGGACAACUUGAGCCAAAGGAACUGAGGUUAUCUGAAAUUCUCAACACAAAUAAUAAUAUUGAUGUGGGUAUUAUUGACAACAUGGCUACGAGAAUUGGUUGGUGGAACCAUCUCGUUAACAACCAACAAUGUAGUAACAUUUUGCUUUUAGCCCUCUCUUGAUGUAGGAGAAAACUUGCUUUUUCGCUAAAAACUUAUAGCCCCACCUGCCAUAUAUGCAUAUAGUAUAGAUGAUUAUUUUUCACCCCUCUCUUAUGUGACUUGCCGGCAUAUUCAAUAUGCUGACCUACACGGCUGCAACGUCUUAUGUUGCAGAUAUUUUUCUUCGACGAGUAAGAGUACGAUUCAGGGUUACGGUCUACACUCAACUUGCCGUUGGUGUUUAUUGGGACUCCACUCCCUUGACUGCUUCCGCUGAGAUAUUUAAGGUAUAUAUCAGUUUUNNNNNNNNNNNNNNNNNNNNNNNNNNNNNNNNNNNNNNNNNNNNNNNNNNNNNNNNNNNNNNNNNNNNNNNNNNNNNNNNNNNNNNNNNNNNNNNNNNNNCGGCCAUGGAAGUUGCAGGUUCGCUGGAGAAAGGAAGGUCACGGGAGAAUAGAGAAGGAAGGAAGAAGAAGAGGGAAGGAAAGAGAGAGAAGAAAAAAAGAAAGAAAAGAAAAGGGGAAAGAAAAAGAAAAAAAAUAAGGAAAGAAGAGGUGCGCUCGAGGUGCUGGUCGGUUGGGCAGGGGAUUUGGAUUCGCAGCGAUGGGGAUCUCGCCCGAGGAAAAAUAUCUCCCGUUUUUUUCUUUUUUUUAACAGAAACUAAAACGAAAAAAAGGAAACAAAUAAAAUAAUUAAUAUAGGGUAUUAUAUACCAACAUGAUCAGAAAAAUAUCCUCUACUCGAUUAACAUUUUUCCAAGGCAAAAAUAAAAACUUCAAAAAAUGUUUUUCAGAAAAAUAUCCCUUAUGCUAUAUUUUCUUUUUGCAAUUAUUUUCACGAUAAAACUUUGGCUUUCAUGGCUCAAAAUAUUUCAAAAAUGCCUCACAUUUUGGAGGGUCAUUUUCCUCCGCUCUCUCUUGCGUGCAAGAGAUUAUUUCCCGGCAUUUUCUCGGGGAAGAAAAAAUAUAGAAGCAAGGGCAAAAUUUUGAAAGGAUUUCAAAUGCAAACUCCGUUCAAAUUUUCUAUAGUUGAAGAAGUCAUGUCAUCUUCUCUCUUUGCUUUUAAAAGAUUGAAUUUGAAUUCAUCGGAGAUGGGGAAUGUCAUUUUAUUCCCUCUCAUUCAAAAGUUUUUGAAAAGUUUCAGAUUUCACUCANNNNNNNNNNNNNNNNNNNNNNNNNNNNNNNNNNNNNNNNNNNNNNNNNNNNNNNNNNNNNNNNNNNNNNNNNNNNNNNNNNNNNNNNNNNNNNNNNNNNUUGCCUCGAUCCAUUUUAUCCUUUCGACCAGCGAUCUGAGUGAAUAUACUAGUGAAACGAACCGUCAGGGACAGAGUGCUUCUACGGAAUCUUUUGAUGUGACCGGUCAAACUGACAACGGUGGAUUUUCCGGGGUCCUCAAAUUUAGGUUGCCGCACGCUCAGCAGGGAUGACGACAUCGCCAUCGAGUAGUUUCUGCCGCCUCAAUUACCGCGCCGUUAUCUUCUCCACUAACAUCGUAGCAGCCGGUCGGGGGGGGGNNNNNNNNNNNNNNNNNNNNNNNNNNNNNNNNNNNNNNNNNNNNNNNNNNNNNNNNNNNNNNNNNNNNNNNNNNNNNNNNNNNNNNNNNNNNNNNNNNNNNNNNNNNNNNNNNNNNNNNNNNNNNNNNNNNNNNNNNNNNNNNNNNNNNNNNNNNNNNNNNNNNNNNNNNNNNNNNNNNNNNNNNNNNNNNNNNNNNNNNNNNNNNNNNNNNNNNNNNNNNNNNNNNNNNNNNNNNNNNNNNNNNNNNNNNNNNNNNNNNNNNNNNNNNNNNNNNNNNNNNNNNNNNNNNNNNNNNNNNNNNNNNNNNNNNNNNNNNGGGGGGGGGGGGGGGGUAAGAUUUCGGGGUCACCUGUUAGCGACUCAGUAGGAAGCUUAUUUAAGCCCUUCCGGCGGGGAUCUCUUGUUGCGCUGCUCUUCUUCCUCGCGUUAACAUCGCUCCUAUCGUAGCUCCUUGCGCGCCUCAAGCCUCCUCCUUCCUCUCCUCCUCUGCGGAUCUGUUGCCUUCACCAUGACGAAGGGGCAGACCAGCAAACUCGAAGCGCAGAAGAAGAAGAAGAAGANNNNNNNNNNNNNNNNNNNNNNNNNNNNNNNNNNNNNNNNNNNNNNNNNNNNNNNNNNNNNNNNNNNNNNNNNNNNNNNNNNNNNNNNNNNNNNNNNNNNACGGGAUCACAUCAUUAGGAGAAUCAUGUGAUGGACUAGACCCAAACUAAUAGACGUAGCAUGUUGAUCGUGUCAUUUUGUUGCUACUGUUUUCUGUGUGUCAAGUAUUUGUUCCUAUGACCAUGAGAUCAUAUAACUCACUGACACCGGAGGAAUGCGUUGUGUGUAUCAAACGUCGCAACGUAGCUGGGUGACCAUAAAGAUGCUCUACAGGUAUCUCCGAAGGUGUUAGUUGAGUUAGUACGGAUCGAGACUGGGAUUUGUCACUCCGUGUGACGGAGAGGUAUCUCGGGGCCCACUCGGUAAUACAACAUCACACACAAGCCUUGCAAGCAAUGUGACUUAGUGUAAGUUGCAGGAUCUUGUAUUACGGAACGAGUAAAGAGACUUGCUGGUAAACGAGAUUGAAAUAGGUAUACGGAUACUGACGAUCGUAUCUCGGGCAAGUAACAUACCGAAGGACAAAGGGAAUGACAUUCGGGAUUAUAUGAAUCCUUGGCACUGAGGUUCAAACGAUAAGAUCUUCGUAGAAUAUGUAGGAUCCAAUAUGGGCAUCCAGGUCCCGCUAUUGGAUAUUGACCGAGGAGUCUCUCGGGUCAUGUCUACAUAGUUGUCGAACCCGCAGGGUCUGCACACUUAAGGUUCGACGUUGUUAUAUGCGUAUUUGAGUUAUAUGGUUGGUUACCGAAUGUUGUUCGGAGUCCCGAAUGAGAUCACGGACGUCACGAGGGUUUCCGAAAUGGUCCGGAAACGAAGAUUGAUAUAUAUGAUGACCUCAUUUGAUUACCGAAAGGUUUUCGGAGUUACCCGGAAUGUACCGGGAAUGACGAAUGGGUUCUGGGUGUUCACCCGGGGGGGGGGGAGGGGCAACCCACCCCGGGGAAGCCCAUAGGCCUUGGGGGUGGCGCACCAGCCCUUAGUGGGCUGGUGGGACAGCCCAAGAAGGCCCUAUGCGCCAUAGGAAGAAAAUCAAAGAGAAAAGAAAAAAAGGAGGAGGUGGGAAAGGGAAGAAGGACUCCACCUUCCAAACCAAGUUGGAUUCGGUUUGGAAGGGGAGACCUUCCCCCCUUGGCUCGGCCGACCCCCUUGGGGAUCCUUGAGCCUCAAGGCAAGGCUCCCCCUCUUCCCCCUAUAUAUACGGAGGUUUUAGGGCUGAUUUGAGACGUUUUUUCACGGCAGCCCGACCACAUACCUCCACGAUUUUUCCUCUAGAUCGCGUUUCUGCGGAGCUCGGGCGGAGCCCUGCUGAGAUAAGAUAACCACCAACCUCCGGAGCGACGUCACGCUGCCGGAGAACUCCUCUACCUCUCCGUCUCUCUUGCUGGAUCAAGAAGGCCGAGAUCAUCGUCGAGCUGUACGUGUGCUGAACGCGGAGGUGUCGUCCGUUCGGCACUAGAUCGUGGGACUGAUCGCGGGACGGUUCGCGGGGCGGAUCAAGGGACGUCAGGACAUUCCACUACAUCAACCGCGUUCACUAACGCUUCUGCUGUACAGUCUACAAGGGUACGUAGAUCACACAUCCCCUCUCGUGGAUGGACAUCACCAUGAUAGGUCUUCGUGCGCGUAGGAAAAUUUUUGUUUCCCAUGCGACGCUCCCCAACAGUGGCAUCAUGAGCUAGGUUCAUGCGUAGAUGUAUUCUCGAGUAGAACACAAAAGUUUUUGUGGGUGGUGAUGUGCGUUUUGCUGCCCUCCUUAGUCUUUUCUUGAUUCCGCGGUAUUGUUGGAUUGAAGCGGCUUGGACCGACAUUACUCGUACGCUUACGAGAGACUGGUUUCAUCGCUACGAGUAACCCCGUUGCUCAAAGAUGGCUGGCAAGUGUCAGUUUCUCCAACUUUAGUUGAAUCGGAUUUGACCGAGGAAGUCCUUCGAUGAGGUUAAAUAGCAACUCAUAUAUCUCCGUUGUGGUGUUUGCGUAAGUAAGAUGCGAUCCUACUAGAUACCCAUGGUCACCACGUAAAACAUGCAACAACAAAAUUAGAGGACGUCUAACUUGUUUUUGUAGGAUAUGCUUGUGAUGUGAUAUGGCCAACGAUGUGAUGUGAUAUAUUGGAUGUAUGAGAUGAUCAUGUUGUAAUAGUUAAUAUUGACUUGCACGUCGAUGGUACGGCAACCGGCAGGAGCCAUAGGGUUGUCUUUAAACUAACGUUUGUGCUUGCAGAUGCGUUUACUAUAUUGCUAGGACGUAGCUUUAGUAGUAAUAGUAUGAGUAGCACGACAACCCCGAUGGCGACACGUUGAUGGAGAUCAUGAUGAUGGAGAUCAUGGUGUGACGCUGGUGACAAGAAGUUCGUGCCGGUGCUUUGGUGAUGGAGAUCAAGAAGCACAUGAUUAUGGCCAUAUCAUGUCACUUAUGAAUUGCAUGUGAUGUUAAUCCUUUUUGCACCUUAUCUUGCUUAGAACGACGGUAGCAUUAUGAGGUGAUCUCUCACUAAAAUUUCAAGACGAAAUUGUGUUCUCCCCGACUGUGCACCGUUGCGACAGUUCUUCGUUUCGAGACACCACGUGAUGAUCGGGUGUGAUAGACUCAACGUUCACAUACAACGGGUGCAAAACAGUUGCACACGCAGAACACUCGGGUUAAGCUUGACGAGCCUAGCAUGUGCAGACAUGGCCUCGGAACACAUGAGACCGAAAGGUCGAGCAUUAAUCGUAUAGUUGAUAUGAUUAGCAUAGAGAUGCUUACCACUGAAACUAUUCUCGACUCACGUGAUGAUCGGACUUGAGAUAGUGGAUUUGGAUCAUGUACCACUCAAAUGACUAGAGAGAUGUACUUUUUGAGUGGGAGUUCUUAAGUAAUAUGAUUAAUUGAACUAAUUAUCAUGAACAUAGUCUAAUGGUCUUUGCGAAUACGAUGUAGCUUGCGCUAUAGCUCUACUGUUUUAAUAUGUUCCUAGAGAAAAUUUAGUUGAAAGUUGAUAGUAGCAAACUUUGUAGAGGAUUGUCCUCAUUGCUGCGCAGAAGGCUUAUGUCCUUAAUGCACCACUCGGUGUGCUGCACCUCGAGCGUCAUCUGUGGAUGCUGUGAACAUCCGACAUACACGUUUCUGAUGACUACACGAUAGUUUAGUGCAAAAUACUUAAUGGCUUAGAAGCAAGGCGCCGAAGACGUUUUGAGACGUCACGGAACAUAAGUGAUGUUCUAAAGAGAUUAAAUUGUGAUUUCAUGCUUGUGCCCUUGUUAAGAGGUACGAGACCUCCGCCAAGAUUCUUUGUCCACAAAGUAAAGGAGAAAAUCUCAAUCGUUGAGCGUGUGCUCAGAUUGUCUGAGUACGACAAUCGCUUGAAUCAAGUGGGAGUUAAUCUUCCAGAUGAGAUAGUGAUUGUUCUCCAAAAUCACUGCCACCAAGCUGUGAGAGCGUCGUGAUGAACUUUAACAUAUCAAGGAUAGAUACAAUGAUCCUUGAGCGAUUCGCGAUGUUUGACACUGCGAAAGUAGAAAUCAAGAAGAAGCAUCAAUAGUUGAUGGUUAGUAAAACCACUAAGUUUCAAGAAAGGCAAGGGCUAGAAGGGAUACUUCGUGAAACGGCAAAAUAGUUGUUGCACUAAUGAAGAGACCCAAGAUUAAACCCAAACCCGAGACUAAGUGCUUCUGUAAUGAGGGGAACGGUCACUGAGGCGGAGCAACUCUAGAUACUUGGUAGAUAAGAAGGCUGGCAAAAGUCGAAAGAAGUAUAUUUGAUAUACAUGAUGUUGAUGUGUACAUUACUAGUACUCCCAGUAGCACGAGGGUAUUGGAUACCGGUUCGGUUGCUAAGUGAUUAGUAACACGAAAUGAAAGCUACGGCAUAAACGGAGACUAGCUAAAGGCGAGGUGACGAUACGUGUUGGAAGUGUUUCCAAGGUUGAUAUGAUCAAACGUCGCACGCUCCCUCUACCAUCGGGAUUGGUGUUAAACCUAAAUAAUUGUUAUUUGGUGCUUGCGUUAAGCAUGAACAUGAUUGGAUCGUGUUUAUUGCAAUACGAUUAUUCAUUUAAAGAGAAUAAUGGUUACUCUAUUUGCUUGAAUAAUCACCUUCAAUGGUUUAUUGAAUCUCGAUUGUAGUGUUACACAUGUUCAUGAUAUUGGUGCCAAAAGACACGAGGUAAUGAUGAUAGUACCACUUACUUGUGGCACUGCCGCUUGAUUCAUGUUGGUAUAAAUUGCAUGAAGAGGCUCCAUGCUGAUGGAUCUUUAUACUCACUUGAUUUUGAAUCACUAGUGACAUGCAAAUCAUACCACAUGAGCAAGGCCUUGUUUUACAUUGAGAUGAAACAAGAUAGUAACUUGUUGGAAGUGAUGCAUUUUGAUGUAUGCAGUCCAAUGGGUGCUGAGGCACGUAGUGGAUAUCAUUAUGUUCUUACUUCAAUGAAGAUUUGAGCAGAUACAAGAGUAUUUGCUUAAUGAAUCACAAGUCUGAAAUAUUGAAAAGUUCAAUUCUGUUUCAGAGUGAAGUUCGUCGUAACAAAAGGAUAAACUGUCUACGAUAUGAUCAUAGAAAUGAAUAUCUGAGUUACGAGUUUUGGUACGCAGUUAAGACAAUGUGGAAAUUGUUUCGCAGUUCAUGCCACAUGGAACAUCAUAGUGUGAUGAUGUGUGUGAACGUCAUAGCCACGCACUAUUUGGUAUGGUGCAUACUAUGAUGUCUCUUAUCAAAAUGGUCCAGAAACAAAGAUUGAUAUAUAGGAUGACCUCAUUUGAUUACCGGAAGGUUUUCGGAGUUACCGGGAAUGACGAAUGGGUUCCGGGUGUUCACCGGGGGGGGCAACCCACCCCGGGGAAGCCCAUAGGCCUUGGGGUGGUGCACCAGCCCUUAGUGGGCUGGUGGGACAGCCCAAGAAGGCCCUAUGCGCCAUAGGAAGAAAAUCAAAGAGAAAAAAAAGGAGGAGGUGGGAAAGGGAAGAAGGACUCCACCUUCCAAACCAAGUUGGAUACGGUUUGGAAGAGGAGACCUUCCCCCCUUGGCUCGGCCGACCCCCUUGGGGCUCCUUGAGCCUCAAGGCAAGGCUCCCCCUCUUCCCCCUAUAUAUACGGAGGUUUUAGGGCUGAUUUGAGACGUUUUUCCAUGGCAGCCCGACCACAUACCUCCACGGUUUUUCCUCUAGAUCGCGUUUCUGCGGAGCUCGGGCGGAGCCCUGCUGAGAUAAGAUAACCACCAACCUCCGGAGCGCCGUCACGCUGCCGGAGAACUCUUCUACCUCUCCGUCUCUCUUGCUGGAUCAAGAAGGCCGAGAUCAUCGUCGAGCUGUACGUGUGCUGAACGCGGAGGUGCCGUNNNNNNNNNNNNNNNNNNNNNNNNNNNNNNNNNNNNNNNNNNNNNNNNNNNNNNNNNNNNNNNNNNNNNNNNNNNNNNNNNNNNNNNNNNNNNNNNNNNNGAUAAGAUCUUCGUAGAAUAUGUAGGAUCCAAUAUGGGCAUCCAGGUCCCGCUAUUGGAUAUUGACCGAGGAGUCUCUCGGUCAUGUCUACAUAGUUCUCGAACCCGCAGGGUCUGCACACUUAAGGUUCGACGUUGUUUUAUGCGUAUUCGAGUUAUAUGGUUGGUUACCGAAUGUUGUUCGGAGUCCCGGAUGAGAUCAAGGACGUCACGAGGGUUUCCGGAAUGGUCCGGAAAUGAAGAUUGAUAUAUAGAAUGACCUCAUUUGGUUACCGGAAGGUUUUCGUGCAUUACCGGAAAAGUUUCGGGCUCAUCGGUAGUGUACUGGGAGUGCCGGGAGGGGUGCCGGGGACCAUCAGGAGGGGUGUCACGCCCCAUGGGGUCUCAUGGGCUAUGGGAAGAGAUAAACCAGCCCCUAGUGGGCUGGAAUAAGUUCCCACUAAGGCCCAUAAGGUUUGAGAAGGAAAAAACACAAGGUGGAAAGAGUUUCCAAGUGGGAAGGUGGAAUCCUACUCCAAGUAGGAUUGGAGUAGGACUCCUCGACCUCCAAUUUCGGCCAAACCUUUAGGUUUUGAGGCUGCCUCCUCCCCUCCCUCCCUCCUAUAUUAGUGGGGUUUUAGGGCUGAUUUGAGACAACUUUUGCCACGGCAGCCCGACCACAUACCUCCACGGUUUUACCUCUAGAUCGCGUUUCUACGGAGCUCGGGCGGAGCCCUGUUGAGAUUAGAUCACCACCAACCUCCGUAGCGCCGUCACGCUGCCGGAGAACUCUUCUACCUCUCCGUCUCUCUUUCUGGAUCAAGAAGUCCGAGAUCAUCGUCGAGCUGUACGUGUGCUGAACGCGGAGGUGCCGUCCGUUCGACACUAGAUCGGAGCGGAUCGUGGGACGGAUCGCGGGACGGUUCGUGGGACGGUUCGCGGGGCGGAUCGAGGGACGUGAGGACGUUCCAUUACAUCAACCGCGUUUCUUAACGCUUCUGUUGUGCGAUCUACAAGGGUACAUAGAUCGGAAAUCCCCUCUCGUAGAUGGACAUCACCAUGAUAGGUCUUCGUGCGCGUAGGAAAUUUUUUGUUUCCCAUGCGACGUUCCCCAACAAAUACUUGGGGCAAUUGCGCUUUCAGUGACCAGUCCCCUUGCAAUAAUAGCACUCAGUUUCUGGCUUAGGUCCAGCCUUGGGUUUCUUCAUCGUAGGGGCAACAGUUUUGCCACUCUUCUUGGAGUUACCCUUCUUGCCUUUGUCGUUCUUCUUGAAACUAGUGGUCUUAUUGACCAUCAACACUUGAUGCUCUUUCUGGAUUUCUGACUCAGUGACUUUCAGCAUCGCAAAUAACUCGUCGGGUGACUUAUUCAUCCCUUGCAUGUUAUAGUUCAACACGAAGCUCUUGUAGCUAGGUGGCAGUGAUUGAAGAAUUCUGUCAGUGAUAGCUUCUUGCGGAAGAUCAAUCCCCAGCUCAGCUAGACGGUUUGAGUACCCCAGACAUUUUGAGCACAUGUUCACUGACAGACGAAUUCACCUCCAUUUUGCAAGCAUAGAAUUUAUCGGACUUCUCAUACCUCUCGAUCCGAGCAUUCUUCUCAAAGAUAAACUUCAACUCCUGGAACAUCUCAUAUGCUCCAUGAUGUUCGAAAUGUUGUUGAAGUCUCGAUUCUAAGCUAACAAAACUACACAUUGAACUAGUGAGUAGUCAUCCUUACGAGCUUGCCAAGCGUUCAAAACAUCUUGGUCAGCCGUAGAGGGUGGUUCAUCUCCUAGCGCUGCAUCAAGAACAUAAUUCUUUUGCCCAACUUGAAGGAUAAGCCUCAGAUUUACAGCCCAGUCUACAAAGUUGCUAUCGUCAUCUUUCAACUUAGCUUUCUCUAGGAACGUAUUGAAAUUCGGGGUUGCUACUUCGCGAGCCAUUGAUCUACAACAUAAAAUUUUGCAAAGAUUACUUAGACUAUGUUCAAGACAAUUUGAGUUUAGCUAAUCAUAUUACUAAUAAACUCCCACUCAAAUAGACAUCCCUCUAGUUAUUUGAGUGUGGCAUGAUCCAAAUUCACUAACUCAAGUCCGAUCAUCACGUGAGUUGAGUAUAGUUUCAGUGGUGAACAUCUCCAUGUUGAUCAUAACUACCGUAUGGUUCAUGCUCGACCUUUCGGUAUCUUGUGUUUCGAGGCCAUGUCUGUACAUGCUAGGCUCGUCAAGUUUAACCCGAGUGUUCCGCCUGUGCAACUAUUUUGCACCCGUUGUAUGUGAACAUUGAGUCUAUAACACCCGAUCAUCACGUGGUGUCUCGAAACGACGAACUGUCGCAACGGUGCACAGUUGGGGAGAACACAAUUUUAUCUUGAAAUUUUAGUGAGGGAUCACCUUAUAAUGCUACCGUUGUUCUAAGCAAGAUAAGGUGCAUAAAAGGAUUAACAUCACAUGCAAAUCAUAAGUGACAUGAUAUGGCUAUGAUCUUUGUGCUUCUUGAUCUCCACCACCAAAGCACCGGCAUGAUCUUCAUCGUCACCGGUGCCACACCAUGAUCUCCAUCAUCGUGCCGCCAUCGAGGUUGUAGUGCUAUCUAUGCUAUUACUACUAAAGCUACAACCUAGCAAUAUAGUAAACACAUCUGCAAGCACAAACGUUAGUUUAAAAACAACCCUAUGGCUCCUGCUGGUUGCCGUAGCAUCGACGUGCAACUCGAUAUUUAACUAUUACAACAUGAUCAUCUCAUACAUCCAAUAUAUCACAUCAUGUCUUUGGCCAUAUCACAUCACAUGCAUACCCUGCAAAAACAAGUUAGACGUCCUCUAAUUUGUUGUUGCAUGUUUUACGUGGCUGCUAUGGGUAUCUAGUAUGAUCGCAUCUUACUUACGCAAAGCCACAACGGUGAUAUGCAAAUUGCUAUUUAACCUUCUGCAAGGACCGCCUCGGUCAAAUCCGAUUCAACUAAAGUUGAAGAAACAGACACCCGUCAGCCAUCUUUAUGCAACAAUUUGCAUGUUAGUCGAUGAAACUGGUCUCUCGUAAGCGUACGAGUAAGGUUGGUCCGGGCCCUUUCAAUCCAACAAUACCGCCGAAUCGAGAAAAGAAUAAGGAGGGUAGCAAAUCGAACAUCAACGCCCACAAAUUUUUUUGUAUUCUACUCGAGAUAUCAUCUACGCAUGAACCUAGCUCAUGAUGCCACCGUUGGGGAACGUUGCAUGGGAAACAAAAAAUUUCCUACGCACACGAAGACCUAUCAUGAUGAUGAUCAUCUACGAGAGGGAGAUCGGAUCUACAUAACCUUGUAGAUCGCUAAGCGGGGAGCAUUAAUAAACACGGUUGAUGUAGUGAAACGUCUUCGCGAUCCAAAUCGCCGCCAUCCCACGAUCCGUCCCGAUCUAGUACCAAACGGACGGCACCUCCGCGUUCGGCACACGUACAACUCGAUGACGAUAUCCGCCUUCUUGAUCGAGCAAGAGAGAUGGGGAAGUAUAUGAGUUCUCCGGCAGCGUGAUGGCGCGCCGGUGGUGGUGGUGAUCUAUUCCUGCAUGGCUUCGCCUAAGCACCGCAGUAAUCUGAUCUAGAGGAAGAACUAUGAAGUAGAGGUUUAGGCUUGCACGUGGCAAAGUUGUCUCUCAAAAAUCCUAAAACCUCUAGUAUAUAUAGGAGGAGGGAAGGGCUAGCCUUGAGGCUCAAGGAGAGCCUCCUUGGCUUCGACCUAAGUGGAGGAGGGAGGAGUCCUCCUCCAAUCCCAAUUGGAUUAGUACUCCUUCCAAAAUUUCCCACCUCUUUUGGAUUUUCCACCUUUUUCCUCAUGGGCUUUCCUUGGAUGACUUGUGAGCCCAUUAAGCCUUAUUGCGCAUCCAAUAAACUCAUGUGGACCCCUUGGAGCGUGGUGAGCCCACCUGGUGGCCCCCCUGUACCCAUUCGUCACUCUCGGUACACUGUCGGCCAUGCCCAAAAUUCUUCCAGAAUCCAAAUACCAACUUCCUAUAUAUUAAUCUUUGUUUCUGGACCAUUCUGGAAACCCUCGUGACAUCCAAGAUCUCAUCCGGUACUCCGAACAAAACUUCGUUCACCAGCACCUAUAACUCAACUAUACCGAAACGUCACCGAACCUUAAGUGUGCAGACCCUGCGGGUUCGAGAACUAUGCAGACAUGACCUGAGACACUCCCUGGUCAAUAUCCAACAGCGGGACCUGGAUGUCCAUAUUUGAUCCUACAUAUUCUACGAAGAUCUUAUCGGUUGAACCUCUAUGCCAAGGAUUCAUAUAAUCCCGUAUACCAUUCCCUUUGUCCUUCGGUAUGUUACUUGCCCGAGAUUUGAUCGUCGAUAUCUCUAUACCUAUUUCAACCUCGUUACUGGCAAGUCUCUUUACUCGUUCCGUAAUACAAGGUCCCGUGACUACUCUUUAGUCACAUUGCUUGCAAGGCUUAUAUGUGAUGUUGUAUUACCGAGUGGGCCCCGAGAUACCUCUCCGUCACACGGAGUGACAAAUCCCAGUCUUGAUCCAUGCUAACUCGACGGACACCUUUGCGACGUUUGAUACACACAAGGCACUCCUCCGGUGUCAGUGAUUUACAUGAUCUCAUGGUCAUACAAAUGAAUACUUGACAUGCAGAAAACAAUAGCAACAAAAUGACACGAUCACAUGCUACAUUUAUAGUUUGGGUCUCGUCCAUCACAUCAUUCUCCCAAUGAUGUGAUCCCGUCAUCAAGUGAUAACACUUGUCUAUGGCCAGGAAACCUUAACCAUCCUUGAUCAACAGGCUAGUCAACUAGAGGCUCACUACGGUCACAGUUUUGUCUAUAUAUCACAUGCAUUUAUGUUUCCAUUCAAUACACUUAUAGCAUGGGUAAUAAACGGUUAUCUUGAAACAGGAAAUAUAAUAAUAACUAUUUUAUUAUUGCCUCUAGGGCAUAUUUCCAACACAUGACACAACGAUGCAACCGAUAAUUCAACUAUGAAAAUACUAAAAUGAAAAUUGCAAAGGCUUAGACUCGCUUGGACAAAGGAUGACUAGAUCUAACUCUUUUUUUGUUGGGGAACGUAGUAGUAAUUCAAAAAAAGCAUACGUCACACAAGGAUCUAUCCAUGGAGAAACCAGGAAUGAGCAAAGGGGUAGAGAAUCUUCAUACCUUUGAAGAUCUCUAAGCGGAAGCGUUGCUAGAACAUGGUUGAUGGACUCGUACUCCCAGCGAUUCAGAUCGCGGUGGAUUCUAAUGUAUGCGCCGAACAACGGCGCCUCCGUGUUCAACACACGUGCAGCCCGGUGACGUCUCCAACGCCUUGAUCCAGCAAGGAGGGAGGAGAGACUGAGGGAGAGCUUCGGAAGCACGACGGCGUGGUGAUGGUGGAGCUACGUGGCACUCCGACAGGGCUUCGUCAAGCACUACGGAGGACGAUGAGGAGGAGCAGUAGGGCUGCACCGAGAGGCAGGAAUAACUUCCUUCUUUGGAGCCCUAAUACCCCACAUAUAUAUAGGGGGAAGGAGGAGGAGAGCCGUCCACCCCUAGGGAAACCCUAGGAGGUGCAGCGGCCAAGGAGGAGGAGCACGUGGCGCCCUGGGGUGGCUUGCCACCCAAGGCAAGCCUCUCCACGCCCUAGGGUUGGCCCCUUAGCCCUUGUGCACCUUGGGCCUUAGGUGGGUGGCGCACCAGCCCACCUAGGGACUGGUUCCCAUCCACUUUAGGCCCAUGUAACCUCUUGUAGCUGGUGGCCCCUCCCGGUGGACCCCUGGAACCCUUCCGGCGGUCCCAGUACAUUAAUGACGAAUCCCGAAACACUUCCGGCGAUCAAAACUCCACUUCCUAUAUAUGAAUCUUUACCUCCGGACCAUUCCAGAACUCCUCGUGACGUACAAGAUCUCAUCCGGGACUCCGAACUACCUUUAGUAACCACGUACACUAUUGCUGUGAUGCCCUCGAUUUAAUCAUACACUAAUCAUACACGCAAAUGCGUACGAUCAAACUCAAGGACUCACGGGAAGAUAUCACAACACAACACUAGACACAAAUAAAAUAAGCAAGCUUCAUAUUACAAGCCAGGGGCCUCGAGGGCUAGAAUACAGAAGCUCGAGAAACACACGAGUCAGCGGAAGCAACAAAUAUCUGAGUACAGACAUUAAACAUGGGGUGCCUUAGAGAAGGCUAGCAUAAAAGACACAACGAUCGAACGAGGCGAGGCCUCCUGUCUGGGAACCUCCUAACUACUCCUGGUCUUCAGUGGCCUCCACGUAGUAGUAGGCACCGUCGGGGGUAGCAGGCGUCAUCGGCGGAGAACUCCAUUUCCUGGGCUCCAUCAUCUGGUCAUAGCAACGGAUCAAGGGGCAAAGGGGGAGCAAAGCAACGGUGAGUACUCAUCCAAAGUACUCGCAAGUCUUACAUCAGAACUAUUCUAAGUAUGCAACAAUAUCAAAGAAGGGGGCUGGUUAUAUGUGGACUGACUGCAACAAUGCGAGAAAAGAGAGAGAAGGCCUAGUCCUAUCGAAGACUAGCAUCUUCAGGGUCUUGCAGCAAUAGACGAGAGUAGAACAGGUGUAACACAAUUAAUAGUCAUAUUGUUGCAGCAAUAUUAAUAAGAGGUCACGCCCAGAGAUUGUGACAGCCCGAUGCCGAUGUUCCAGAAGAUUCCCCUUUUCUUCCCAUUUUCGUCGUGUGUCUACUUUCUUUUAUCGCAUCAUCAUCGCAUCAUUCGCAUCAUCUGCAUUGCAUCGGCUUCUCCGUUGCCCCCAAUUUUUUUAAAAAACUUGCAUCCGUUGUUAGUUGCCGGUUCUCGUCGUUGUCCGUUCUGAGCCCGACCGCACUCGCCCGCGCCCGCGGCAUCGUUUAAAUCUUGUUUUCAAAAGUGUGCGUAAAACUUUCUCUGAUCGGGUUGAGAUUUGACGUGUGGUCUUAUUUUAAUAUAGCUAGGCCGCCUAUCAAAUUUCGUCGCGAUCGGAGUCCGUCUGUUACCCGAACGGUCGACCGUAGCGGCACCGUAUUCGGUCUAUAGUCGGAUGUUUGUCGGUGUUUUAAAAAUCGUUGCCGCGCCGCACCACUUCCCUCUCUUCUUAGCCGAUGUCACUCUACACAGCUAACCCUAGCCCGCCUCUCCGAUCGUGAUCGGAGGGUCGAAAAACCCCGAGAUACCCUCUAACCUAGCCCCUCUUCCCUAUUUAAACACCCCUAAAUUGCCCCUAAGGGAAACCCUAGCCACUGCAUCGUUUUCCGUGCCACCCUAACAGUCAGCCGCCACCUGAGCCUGUUCCUCCUCCCUCCUCGAGCCAGGCCCGCUUGGGCCCGAGAGAGGCCCGCCCGAGCCCAUCUGGGCCCGAAGCAGCGCAGCCGCCGCUUGCCCAGCUCCCGUGGCUGCCUGCCUCGCCUACUCCCGAGCCCCGCAGCAGCCGUGCCUCGCUGGAGACCACCAGAGGCCGGCGCCCCUCCUGUCGCCGAGCUCCACCGCGCGCUCACGUCGCCGUGGUGCCCUGUCGCCGGUGCAGGUCGCCGCCAUCGGCCGGAGUAGCCCCGCCGCCGAAGUAGCCUCGCCCCAACCGGAGCACCUUCUGCGCCAGCCUCCCGCGCUAGAUCCGGCCGGCCCAUGCCCGGAUUCGAUCCACGCCGCCGGUUCCCUUCGCGGACGUCGCCGGAGCUCUGCAUCGCUGGGGAGCCGCCGUUCCUCUUGCCCUCGUCCCGCGAGAGGAGCACGAUGAGGUCGCGACACCUCGCUCGCGAGCGCUGACCCUCGCGUGGGCCGCCCGAGCGCCUGGGGCGAGCUGCCUCGCUGGUUUCGGCCCAGGCCAGGGGUUAGCGUGCCUCAUCCUGAAGCCCAGCCCCCUCCAGGCCCACCACGAGCCGGCCAAGAGGCCCAACCGAGGUGAGCCUCUAUUCAUUUCCCCUGUGCACAUUUUAGAUAUGUUGCGCAUGCUGUCGGCCCGAUAGUUAAUUUAGUUAGUUUUAGGAUUAUAUUAUUUCCAGGGUUUAGCUAAAUAUUAAAACGACCGUAUCUUUUAUUCCGUUAGUCGGAUCGUGAUGAAUUAGAUAUGGUUUUCACGUAGUUUUGCGCGUAGAAUCCGAAGUUGCAACUUGCAUAUUUAUUUGUUGUAGUUUAGCGUGCCUAAUUCAUAAACGUACGUGCUGUCCCUAUAGGAUGUAGUCCGUAUUAAUUUCUCGUGCGUGUCCGGAUUGCCUGUAUGCCGUAUUAGAAAUGCCCAUGUUUUAGGAACUAUUUUUCCAUGUAUUUUAGAGUAGACGUUGGUAUUUUUGCGCGUAGGGAUUUGCCGCUAGAUUAUUUUCCGUGUAUAGGUUAUUUUCUCCCAUUUAUGUGUGGCAUAUUUUCGUGUUGCAACCCCACAUAUUUUAUAUGUUUUCGGGGUAGAAAAAUCCCAUAUUUUUCUGUGCAAUUAGUUUUAGCUUUUGAGUAAGUUAGUUCGCAUGAUAUUUUGCUAUGUUGCCCUCUUGUCUUUUUCGUAGGAUUUAUUCCGUGCUUCGUUUGACGGAGUUGUCAACUAGUGAGUUGAUCUUUGAUGUUUACUCUAGCCCCUGGUAUUUUUAGUUGCAAUAGAAAUGCAUGUUUAGGUGUGGUUUGCUUGCUCUCAAGUUGCUAGAAAUAGUGCUGAUUUGGAGGUGCUGAAAUAUUUCUAAGUCUGGAAUCUGUUAUAUUUUGUUGCUGUCUUGUCUUGCUUGUAUCUUGUGAUCUGUAGCUCUUUUAAGGUUGGUCCAAUGGAGUUAGUUGUAGCCCUUGUGUUUCUCUAGCAUGCUGUGAAUUUGCAUGCCAUUUGGAGUCUUGUAGCUCAUGGUUUUGCUUCUGUCAAUAUGGCUUGAGAUCGAAAACUGCACUUUCAUGAGGUGUAAUUUUCACUAAGUCUGAAAUAGUGUGUGAGAUGCCAUUUUGUGUCUUCUUUCCCUAGUGAUCCAUGAUGCCAUGCUAGUUGUUGUUAGUUGUUUGUAGUAGUGCUUCUUUCCCUCUUUCGUGUCAUGCCUUGAUUGAGUUUAUCGAAGUUGUGUAGCCCGUAGUUGUGGGGUGUAGAAAAUGCUAUGUGGCUGAUUUUGGCAGUUUGUAGUGAUUUCUUGUUUAGCUCGUAGUUUUUGAUCCGUAGCUCCGUUUUGAUCGUGUCCUACAUGAAACUUGCUUAGAAUCUUGUGUAGUUUCAUUUUCUCUUGCUGGUUGUAUGUUUUGAAGUGCUCGUGACCGUCGUUGCACACAUAUUGCCUUCAUGCCAUCAUAUCUUGCGGUGCUUGUAUCUUUUGAUCCGUAGCUCCGUUGGAGAUGUUCUCUAUGUGUAGAUUGCAUGAAAUGACGCGUAGAAUCACGUGAACCUAUUUUUUUUUUCUGUUUAACAACCAAUUAAAUGUGUUAGUUCAGAUCUGGAUAGAAUUGUAAAUUAACAUGUGAGGUCGUGUCGGAGAAGCUAUAUGUCAUUUCCGACCUCAUUUAAAAUGCCUAGAUAGGUAGUUUAAUUACGCUUCACCUCUUGCCAUGUUUAACCACAUGUAAUAUAGCCGUUUAUAUAAUCGGGAUAGAACUAAAUAAAUAAACGUGGAGUUUCGUCAACAUGCAACGAGUUGCAUAUUAAACUUCACUUAAUGUGUAGUGUUUGUUUGUCGUGAAUUGUCUUGCCGUGACUUGUUUGCAUUCAGCCUGUCCAUGCAUCAUAUGUGUUGUGCAUCGUGUGGUGAAUAUCGUGUGUUGAUGCUUGUUCCGGUUUUCCCCGUCUCGAUAGAGUUCCGCAAGCGUGUCGGAUGUGAGGACCCGUUCGACUACAUCCGUUCGUCUGCUUCACGGAGGCAUUCUUCUUCCAAGUGGGAUCUCAGGCAAGAUGACCAUUUCCCCAGAUACCAUUACUAUCAUCGCCAUGCUAGUUUACCGUUUCUAUCGAUUAUGUCUCGUUGCCUACCACAUGUUAAAUAUCAGCCUCUCAACAAUGUCAUGAAACCUUCAACCUGUUCGACCUAGCAAACCACUGAUUGGCUAUGUUACCGCUUGCUUAACCAUGUUGUUAGCGUUGCUAGUUGCAGGUGUAGUUGCUUCCAUGUGAAAACAUGGGUUCCUUGUUAUAUCACCAUAUUAAUGCUAUUUAAUUUAAUGCACCUAUAUACUUGGUAAAAGGUGGAAGGCUCGGCCUUUCUAUCCUGGUGUUUUGUUCCACCUUUGCCCCCUUAGUUUCGGCUACCGGUGUUAUGUUCCAUAAUUGAGCACUCCUAACACGAUCGGGGUUGUUAUGGGGCCCCCCUUGAUAAUUCGUUUUAGAUUAAAGCUGGUCUGGCAAGGCCCAACAUUGGUACUAUUUGCCCAACAUAAUAAUUCUGUUAAUUUGAAAUGCAUAGGGAGUUAGCGCUACCCGAGGAGUAAUUCGACAUAAUACAGGGGGGCAGUGCUGAUGGUGCUAGUCCAAAACUAGAGCCGUUUGCGGGGCCAACCCAGGGCAACUUGGGAGAUUUCUAUCAGGCCACCGUACGCUGUGCUUAUCCGUCGUGUCCUGAGAACGAGAUACGCGGCUCCUAUCGGGAUCGUCGACACGUCGGGCGGCCUUGCUGGAUUAGUUUUACUUUUGACGAGAUAUCUUGUGCAUCGGGAUUCCGGUGAUGCUUUGUGUAAUCUCAGAGUUGAGGUUUUCCCUAGGGAAUCCGACGAGAUCGCGAGCUUCGUGAUUGAGGAUUUCUAUGCGGCUUGUGGUAAUUUUUGAUGGACUAGUUGGAGCACCCCUGCAGGGUUAAAUCUUUUCAGAAAGCCGUGCCCGCGGUUAUGUGGCAACGUGGAAACUUUAUUUAACACUGGUUCUAGAUAACUUGAAGUUAACUUAAUUAAAAUAUGCCAACUGUGUGCGUAACCGUGACUGUCUCUUUAGUUAGUUCUUUCUCCGACCGAGGACACGGUGGGGUUAUGUCUGACGUAGGUAGGUGUUUAGGAUCAUUCUUUUGAUCAUGAGUAGAUACGUCUGUUAUGCGUAGAUCUUCCCCCCUCUUAUUUCUUGUACUCGUAAGUUAGCCACCAAAUAUAUGCUUAGCCGCUGCGGCAACCUCACCACUUAACCAUACCUCACCUAAUAAGCUUUGCUAGUCUUGAUACCUUUGGAAAUGAGAUUGCUGAGUCCCCUGUGGCUCACAGGUUACUACAACACCAGUUGCAGGUUCAGGUAAAGGUUACUUGACGCAAGCGCUUUGUAACAUCCCAAAAUUAUAAAUUUUGGAAUGUUAAUAUAAUUAUUAGAUUGAUUGUUUGUUUGAUUGCUGAGUGACUGAAACUUGUGUGAAAUUUGAAACUUUUCGGAACUUUUGAAUGAGAGGGAAUAAAAUGACUUUCCCCAUCUCCGGUGAAUUCAAAUUCAAGCUUUUAAAAGCAACGAGAGAAGAUGACAUGGCUUCUUCAACUAUAAAGAAUUUGAACGAAUAUAUUUGCGUUGAAUUAUUUUGUUUUUCCAUUUUUCCAUCGCGCGAGAAAUGUCCGGAGAAAACUCUCUUGCACGCAAGAGAGAGAGUGAGCGGAGGAAAAUGACACUCCAAAAGUGCGGGCAAAUCUCUGAAAUAAUUGAGCAAAGAAAACCCAAAAUUCUUUUGCAAAAAUAAUUGCAAAAAGAAAUAAAGCAAAUUGGGAAUUUUUCUGAAAAAAACAUUUUUUUCAGGUUUUUAUUUUGGCUUUAAAAAAUGUUAUUUGGGUAGAGAUUUAUUUUCUGAUUUUUUUUGGUAUAUUAUACCAUAUAUUAAUAUUUUGAUUUACUUUCUUUUUGACGUUUAUAUUUUCUGUUUUGGAAAGGUUUUAUAUUAGGAAACUUUUUAUUUUUUUUCUUGCCACCGCCCUGGGCGUAUCUUAGCCCAACCCGAGCCCCACCUUACUUUCCCUUUUUUUUCUCUGCCCAGCGCCCCCUCUACCCCCUCUCUUUGCCCAAGGGACCCCACCCGAGCUCCUCUCUCCCCACAUCACCUCUUCUUCCUCCUCGCCUCCUUCCCCUCCUGCCCGAGACCACGUCUCCUCCCAGGGACCGAGCUUUCCUUCCCCAACGCCCUCCCUCUCCCUUCCUUAAGUCUCCCUCCCUCCUUCCACUGCCCCUUGGCCGCCACCGCCCGAAGCCUUCCCCUCUCCCCGUCACCUUCCUUUCUCUUCCUCCCUCACUUUCCUACCUGCACCAGAGACCGAACCAAGCCGCCAUCGCCACGAUUUCUUCCUCCACCGCCACCUCUCCUUCCUUAGCUCGCCUCCCCCAUGGCCUAUAUAAGUGCCUCCACCGCCACGACCCCGUUCCCGCCCUAACCUAGCCGUCGCCGCCGCCCUAGCCCUGCACCACCGCCGCCAGCAGGCCAAGCCGCUGCACCCCACCUUCGGCCUGGCCCCCAACUACCAGCACCAGAGCCUCACCUCGCCACCCGAGCCCUCUCACCCCGCCGCCGCCUUCCCCGCCGAGGAGGAGUACCCUCGCCGCCACCCCACCCCGUCCCCUCGCCACCCGCUCGCCGGAGCAGCAGCAGCAGCGAGCUGCACCACGUUUGCACCACCCUCCAGGAGCCUCGCCCCGGAGCGCCCCGUCGAGCCCCUCCGUCUUCCCCGAGCGCCCCCCCCGAGGAGGAGCACCCCACCGCCGCCGCCCGACGUCCCCACCCCCCACCGGAGCUCCCUCCUCGCCGGCCAUCUUCCAUCCUCGCCGGUGCACCCCUCUGCCCAGCAGGUAGCUAUCCCUCUCUCUCUCUAGUUUGCAUGCAUUAGUUUUUAGCCUUUAGAUCUCCAUGCAAUGGCUAGGAUUAGAACACUAGUACCUCUUCGGUCUAAUAAGAAAAACCAGUGGGUUUUUAGUUCACUUACGAUUUAACCAGCGAAAUUUGCUAGAGCCCGGCCGUUUGCCCGAAGCCAUUCAACAAACGUUCCCCGCAGCCACUAAUAGCCUGCCACGUUUGCCUCUCUUUUAGCACUAGUAGCUGCAGAUUUUCUGUCUAUAUUAGCAAAAACAGAAACUUUCAAUCUUGUUUUGGCCACAACUUUUUAUCCCGAAGUCCAAUGACUUUGAUUAUUUUUCCAGUAGCUCACAAAUUUCCUGUAGUUUUUAAAAACAUAUAAUUUGUCUAUGUUUGAAAUUUUUAAAUAUAAGUUAGAGCAGAUUUAGUUUAAACCUUGUUCUGCCUAUUCCAGGAGUUUAAAAAUAGGUUUUAAUUUGAUUCCUUUUGGUACUGAUCACUAGCGAUAUUAUGUAUCAGUGGUAAAAAUUUCAGUUUUGUUUGAGUAUUUUAGGCCACUGUUUCAUGUAAAACAAUUUCUGUUUCACCGCUUUUAGGAUUUCGGCUAAUUCAUUUUUCUAGCUUUGUUUUAAAAUAUUUUAUUUAUUAUUUCAGAAACAUUAUUGUUUUGUUUCUGUUAGAUAAGACAGUAGUUUUGCAACAAGUUUUUAUUGUAUUUUUAUUUGUUUUCAUGAAAUCAAUUCUAGUCCCGUAGUAACGUGCAAUUGUUUUCCCCGUGUUUCAAAUCCCGUUUGGGAAUACUUUCGAAAAGUUUUGUGAAAAAUACUUUAUUUUAUAUUAGUCAAACUUAUAACUUAGUUCUUUGUUAUUAUUUUAUGUUAGACAAAAUCAUUUAGUGUUUGACGUAGUAGAAGACUCUCUAGUCUUAUUUGAAGUUUUCUUCGGUUUCCUAUUCGCUCUCUCUCUUUUGUUUUGAUUCCUAGAAUGAUUGCUAGUAUGAACUUAUGUGAAUGAUGUGUUUGUUAUAUAGAUUUCAUCGGAGAGUGACGAGUAGUCUAUCAAAUUAUUUUCUCGAGGAAUUCUUCUUCGUCAACAUCACAGGCAAGUCAUCUUUGAUCAUGUUAUUUUACCUAUGUUUUCAAUGCAUGGUAGAUCACCUUCUUUUCCCAAUUUGCAUGCUGCCUAGGUACUUGGAAAACUUUAGUCAUAGUUGUAGUAUCAUGUGGUAGGAGCACAACAACCCCGAUACUUGGCCCCGGGACGUCAAUGUUAUAUUUGCUAUGCUUAAGUAGACGGGUUAUCGGUUGAGUGUAUGCCACGAGUGAUGCGAGAUUGAUAUUAUAAUCAAGACCGGACUAAGACAAGAUUUUCAAGACCUCGGACGCAAUGCAACACUGGGUGAAGGACGGUUGACCGGCUCCCUGGAAAACCCAGUGGAUGCCCGGGAUGCUGGAGAGGCCAUGUCAUCCUGCGGAAAGCUUCACCCAGGCUCAAAGAGACGGACGGAUAUUUUCAAGACCCAAGGCUUACCUGCACAGCCACAAGUCAUUAUGGGCUCUGGCUUGGUUGGAAAACGCGGCGACUCUGGACAGGCGGUGCUAGCAGAUGUAGAAGAACGGUAGGAAUGGAUGGGCACCGACAGGGAUUCAGAGGGACCCAUUGAAAGACCAUGUUUUGNNNNNNNNNNNNNNNNNNNNNNNNNNNNNNNNNNNNNNNNNNNNNNNNNNNNNNNNNNNNNNNNNNNNNNNNNNNNNNNNNNNNNNNNNNNNNNNNNNNNNNNNNNNNNNNNNNNNNNNNNNNNNNNNNNNNNNNNNNNNNNNNNNNNNNNNNNNNNNNNNNNNNNNNNNNNNNNNNNNNNNNNNNNNNNNNNNNNNNNNNNNNNNNNNNNNNNNNNNNNNNNNNNNNNNNNNNNNNNNNNNNNNNNNNNNNNNNNNNNNNNNNNNNNNNNNNNNNNNNNNNNNNNNNNNNNNNNNNNNNNNNNNNNNNNNNNNNNNNNNNNNNNNNNNNNNNNNNNNNNNNNNNNNNNNNNNNNNNNNNNNNNNNNNNNNNNGUGUGCAAAACUCUGAAGAGUACUCAAACCUAAUCGAUUAGCCGUGUCCACGGUCAUGGACGACUUGAGCCAAAGGAACUGAAGUUAUCUGGAUUUCUCAACACCAUUAUAUAUAUUUGAUGAGGGUAAUUAUUGACAACUCGGGUACGAGAACUGGUUGGCGGAACCAUCUCGUUAACAACCAACUUUUUGUAGUAAUAUUUUGCUUCCAACCCCUCUUGUUGUAGGAUAAAACUGGCUUUAUGCAAAACUUAGCUCCACCGGCCAAAUAUGCAUGUAGAGAUAGUUGAUUAUUAUUUUACUCCUCUCCUUGAUGACUUGCCGGCAUAUUCAAUAUGCUAACCUACACGGCUGCAACGUCUUAUGUUGAAGAUAUUUUUCUUCGACGAGUAAGAGUACGAUUCAGGGUUACGGUCUACACUCAACUUGCCGUUGGUGUUUAUUGUGACUCCACUCCCUUGACUGCUUCCGCUGAGAUAUUUAAGGUAUAUAUCAGUUUUACGCUAUUUACAUGUGGUUGCACUUUGAUAUAUACAUUGAUGUACUGUGUGUGCCAGCAUACUGAUCCAGGGAUGGCACAGAAACACAGAGGCUUGACUCGUUUUGAGUCGGGUCGCUACAGAAAUGGUAUCAGAGCACAUGUUGACUAUAGGACGUGACCCUAGAAACUGGAAAUUUCUUAGGAAAGGAUCUCUCAAAAAAUUUAUUUUCAACAACACCUUUUACUUCUCAUCUCUUCUGAUUUCAUCGAAUGUUCCCUCUCACCUCAAAUAGUUAGACAAUGCCCUUUCCCCUUUGACCUCAUGAAGAAUCAACGGAGUUCUACUUGAAAAUAAAGAGGAUUUCACCACGCGUUUGAAGAAUUGAAGCUACACCAACAGAAGACUCUCAAGACCCGAAGAGCUCGAAGACCCUGAAGCGUUCAAAUAUUUAUAUGACCAUUAGAAGUCCAAACCCCUGUUUUAUACCCACGUUAGAUACGAUGAUUUGUGAGCCUUCAUUGGUGUGUGUUUUCCGACCGCCACAAAUAAAACCUAUUCUCAAAAAUAUUGUUUGUAUUGUGUGUAUCUCCCUCCCUCUCUUACCCGUCUCAUCCCCAAAACCUCAACCCUGCCAGAUGGAGUAUGAAGCUGGACUUGUAGUCUCUGGACCAAUGACCCAGCUGGAGGCUGAAAUAUGGAUUCAAAACAUGGAGAACCACUUCGGGAGCAAUUUGAUCUCAAGGAAGUAUGAAGUGGAACACGCUCUUCAGUACUUUACACAAAGUGCUGCAAUCUGGUGGAAAAUGCAUCAUGCCAUACAAGGAUUUAGUGGAGCAGAAACCUAGGACGAAUUCAAUAAGACUCUGUUAAGAUCACGUCUUAUUCAGAAGUGCUAUGAUAAUACGAAGAAGAAGACUUGUGCAUGCAAGAUCUGUGGAGAAAUAGGACACACCCAGGAGGAACACAAGGAUGGAUGCACUCAUUGUGAAGAAAAUCACCCAGCUGAGGAAUGCCCAACUAGUCAUGUGACUUGUUUCUUGUGUGAAGGAACCACCCACUACCCAGUGGUGUGUCACAUUUACCCCAAGUAUGCCUGAAACCCACAGACCCCGGGACUAACAAGGAUCAAGUACUAUCUUUUUGGAGAAGGAAACUUGUUUCAGCAAACGUUUUCUUAGGAGCAUAUGAAAAUCUGAGAGUUGUGAAGAUACGAUAGAUGUUUUGUUCAGCUUGCAGAAUCAUUGGAUUUAUCCGAACUUCGUUCGUGGACAAGAGAAACUCUGCAAUGCUUGUGAGGACGUCCAAGUGUUAGAAUACGAGAUUCACUAAGCCUUAUACAAGGUAAUGAUUUCAGUGCGACAUGGCUUGGCCACCAUGAUGACUUACUAUUGUCAUUCUCUUGCUAUUCGGAAUGGUAAAUCUAAGAGACUUACCCAUAGUGAGAGACGACGUCCUUUGAAGCUUUUGUUUGAGCCUUAGAAUGGUAUAAUGAAAGCCCAUGUACAUGGCACUUGUUGUCACGCGUAGGAAAUUUUACGGUGAGGAUGAAGCCAAGACCCUUUUCUCUGCAGGAUAACCACAAAUGGUAGACCACCAUGAGAAUCAUCGAUAGGUUAUUUAGAAUAGUCACGAGACUUGUCAGUUAAGAAGACCCAGUGACGGAAGAAGCUUAUAUCAAUAGAAGAACCCUCGAUUUUGAUGGAAACAUUAUGAAUACAAUGGAAGAGCUUCACCAAAGUAGUUACCAUGAAGAAUGUGAGGAGUCAGAUGCCAAGAUCCCAGAGGAUUGUUAAUAAUUUGAGGGACUGGUAACUCUCAUUUUAAGUGUGGUAGCACCCCACCUUGCCGGAGAUUGGAUUUGUUAGAAGUCCCCCAAACCCUAACCUUUCUUUCUAGCCUCUUCGAAUCUCGAGGACGAGAUUCAUUUUAAAUGUGGUAGUUUGUAACAUCCCAAAAUUAUAAAUUUUGGAAUGUUAACAUAAUUAUUAGAUUGAUUGCUUGUUUGAUUGCUGAGUGACUGAAACUUGUGUGAAAUUUGAAACUUUUCGGAACUUUUGAAUGAGAGGGAAUAAAAUGACUUUCCCCAUCUCCGGUGAAUUCAAAUUCAAGCUUUUAAAAGCAAUGAGAGAAGAUGACAUGACUUCUUCAACUAUAAAGAAUUUGAACGAAUAUAUUUGCGUUGAAUUCUUUUGUUUUUCCAUUUUUCCAUCGCGCGAGAAAUGUCCGGAGAAAACUCUCUUGCACACAAGAGCGAGAGAGAGGAGGAAAAUGACACUCCAAAAGUGCGGGCAAAUCUCUGAAAUAAUUGAGCAAAGAAAACCCAAAAUUCUUUUGCAAAAAUAAAUAAAGCAAAUUGGGAAUUUCUGAAAAAUACAUUUUUUUUCAGGUUUUUAUUUUGGCUUUAAAAAAAUGUUAUUUGUGUAGAGAUUUAUUUUCUGAUUUUUUUGGUAUAUUAUACCAUAUAUUAAUAUUUUGAUUUACUUUCUUUUUGACGUUUAUAUUUUCUGUUUUGGAAAGGUUUUAUAUUAGGAAACUUUUUAUUUUUUUGUGGGGAACAGUAGGAAUGGAUGGGCACCGACAGGGAUUCAGAGGGACCCGUUGAAAGACCAUGUUUUGAUCAUCCGGUAUUCAAACACCCUGAAGUGCGAGGACAUACACGGAGGCGAUCAAAUCUUGUGGGGAAUGUGUGCAAAACUCUGAAGAGUACUCAAACCUAAUCGAUUAGCCGUGUCGACGGUCAUGGACGACUUGAGCCAAAGGAACUGAAGUUAUCUGGAUUUCUCAACACCAUCAUAUAUAUUUGAUGAGGGNNNNNNNNNNNNNNNNNNNNNNNNNNNNNNNNNNNNNNNNNNNNNNNNNNNNNNNNNNNNNNNNNNNNNNNNNNNNNNNNNNNNNNNNNNNNNNNNNNNNNNNNNNNNNNNNNNNNNNNNNNNNNNNNNNNNNNNNNNNNNNNNNNNNNNNNNNNNNNNNNNNNNNNNNNNNNNNNNNNNNNNNNNNNNNNNNNNNNNNNNNNNNNNNNNNNNNNNNNNNNNNNNNNNNNNNNNNNNNNNNNNNNNNNNNNNNNNNNNNNNNNNNNNNNNNNNNNNNNNNNNNNNNNNNNNNNNNNNNNNNNNNNNNNNNNNNNNNNNNNNNNNNNNNNNNNNNNNNNNNNNNNNNNNNNNNNNNNNNNNNNNNNAAAACUUAGCUCCACCGGACAAAUAUGCAUGUAGAGAUAGUUGAUUAUUAUUUUACUCCUCUCCUUGAUGACUUGCCGGCAUAUUCAAUAUGCUGACCUACACGGCUGCAACGUCUUAUGUUGCAGAUAUUUUUCUUCGACGAGUAAGAGUACGAUUCAGGGUUACAGUCUACACUCAACUUGUCGUUGGUGUUUAUUGGGACUCCACUCCCUUGACUGCUUCCGCUGAGAUAUUUAAGGUAUAUAUCAGUUUUACGCUAUUUACAUGUGAUUGCACUUUGAUAUAUACAUUGAUGUACUGUGUGUGCCAGCAUACUGAUCCAGGGAUGGCACAGAAACACAGAGGCUUGACUCGUUUUGAGUCGGGUCGCUACACGCGUUGAUUGUUCAUUUGGAGUUGCUUCUUCUUCUUCUUCUUCAUCGAUCUAGGAUGGGUUCCAGGCCGGCAGCCUGGGAUAGCAAGGAUGGACGUCGUUCUUCUUUUCUCGUUUGUUUUCGUCCGUAGUCGGACCCUGCUCUUACUCUUGAUGAUUAUGUAAUGUACCGAUGUGACUCUGAUGUAGCUUGUGGCGAGUGUAAGCCAACUCUGUUAUAUACCUCUUCUUUUCAGUACAUGUACUUGUAACGAUAUCCAUUCUCGCGACACGACGAGAUGCGCUUCUAUCCCUGACGAGGCCUUCGUGCCAGAUUGAGGAUAGGGUCGCAUCUUGGGCGUGACAGAGAUCCUCCCUCGACUCUCUGCGAGGAAGCAAUCCCGGGGCAACUAAAUCCAGUUAAGUAACAAUUGUAGUUGUAUAAGAUCAGGGCACAACUCCAAGUCGUCCUGUAACCGUGGACACGUCUAUUCGAAUAGAUAAGUUCUUCCCUGCACGGGUGCACAACAUAUUCCCCGACGCGCUCGAUAACACUCUGGCCGGACAAACUUUUCUGGGUCCUGCCUGGCCUCGGAAUAUCGACACGUCGCAGCCCCACCUAAGACUCGACAGAGAGGCCAACCCGCCGGUCUAACUCCUCCGCGCUCCUGCACGAUGCGUGGGCGGCCGAGGUCGGUCCUAGCACCCCUUAAUACAAGAGCGAUGCAUCUCGGGACCACUCGGGCACGCGCCGCUACAUUGCUGACAUCUGAAAAGCUUCAGCUGAUACCGCGACGUCGAGUACCCAUAAUUCUUCCCACGCACACGGUUAGUGCGUAAUAAGGCCUUCCGACCAACCCAGAUCAAAUACCCAAAUGUUAGUGCAAUACCUCAAUCCUUAUACCCAAAUGUGACGUGGGUGCUAGUGUUAUUGCAAUACCUCAAUCCUUAUACGAUGAAAUCAAAGAUGAGAUUGCACCUGUUGAGAUAGAGCCUAUUGAUGUCACUAUUCAGCUUGCCAAUAGAGAUACUAUCUGCCCUGUGGGAAAUGUUAGGGAUGUUGAAGUAUUGUGUGGUAAAACGAAGUAUCCUCCUGAUUUCCUCAUUCUUGCUACCGCACAAGAUAGCUUUUGUCCCAUCAUAUUUGGCAGACCCUUCCUCAAUACCAUCAAUGCUCAUAUUGACUGUGAGAAGCAAACUGUCAUUGUUGGCUUUGAAGGUGUGUCACAUGAGUUCAAUUUAUCUAAGUUUGGUAGACAACCUCAUGAAAAGGAGUUGCCUAGUAAGGACGAAACUAUUGCCUUAGCUUCUAUUGCCGUGCCUCCUACUAAUCCCUUAGAGCAAUACUUGCUUGAGCAUGAAAAUGAUAUGCAUAUGGAUGAAAGGGAUGAAAUAGAUAGAGUUGUCUUAGAACAAUAUUCUAUCCUUAAGAAUACCUUGUGUGUUGAACUGCUUGGGGAUCCACCUCCACCAAAGGGAGAUCCUGUGUUCGAGCUUAAACAGUUGCCUGAUACUCUGAAGUAUGCCUAUCCUGAUGAAAAAGAGAUAUAUCCUAUUAUUAUUAGUGCUAGCCUCUCGGAGCAUGAAGAAAAGAAGUUACUAAAAACUCUGAGGAAGCACCGUACUGCUAUCGGAUAUACUCUUGAUGAUCCUAAGGGCAUCAGUCCCACUCUAUGCUAGCACAAGAUUAAAACUGAUCCUGAUUUCAAACCAGUUGCUGAUCAUCAAAGGAGAUUAAAUCCUAAGAUGAAAGAAGUAGUAAGAAAAGAAAUACUAAAGCUCCUGGAAGAGGGUAUUAUCUAUCCUGUUGCUCAUAGCGAUUGGGUGAGUCCGGUGCACUGCAUCCCUAAGAAGGGAGGCAUUGCUGUUGUCCCUAAUGAUAAGGAUGAGUUGAUCCCACAAAGGAUUAUUACUGGCUAUAGGAUGGUGAUCGAUUUCAGGAAACUGAAUAAAGCCACUAGGAAAGAUCAUUACCCUCUGCCUUUUAUCGACCAAAUGCUAGAAAGGCUAUCUAAACACACACACACACUUCUGCUUUCUAGACGGUUAUUCUGGUUUCUCCCAAAUACGAGUUGCACAAUCUGAUCAGGAGAAAACCACUUUCACCUGCCCUUUCGGUACCUUUGCUUAUGGACGUAUGCCUUUUGGCUUAUGUAAUGCACCUGCCACCUUUCAAAGAUGUAUGAUGGCUAUAUUCUCUGACUUUUGUGAAAAGAUUGUCGAGGUUUUCAUGGAUGACUUCUCCGUUUACGGGUCUUCCUUUGAUGAUUGCCUCAACAACCUUGAUUGAGUCUUGCACAGAUGUAAAGACACCAACCUUGUCUUGAAUUGGGAGAAGUGCCACUUUAUGGUUAAUGAAGGCAUCGUCUUAGGACAUAAAAUUUCCGAAAGAGGUAUUGAAGUCGAUAAGGCUAAGGUUGAUGCAAUCGAGAAAAUGCCAUACCCCACAUAUAUCAAAGGUAUAAGAAGUUUCCUUGGUCAUGCUAGUUUCUAUAGAAGGUUCAUCAAAGACUUCUCUAAGAUUUCUAGGCCUCUCACCAAUCUCUUACAAAAGGAUAUGACUUUUUUUUACAAUGAUUGUGAGGAAGCCUUCAAAAUACUUAAGAGGGCUUUGAUAACUGCACCUAUUGUUCAACCACCUGAUUGGAACUUACCUUUUGAAAUCAUGUGUGACGCUAGUGAUUAUGCUGUUGGUGCUGUUCUAGGGCAAAGAGUCGAUAAGAAGUUGAAUGUUAUUCACUACGCUAGUAAAACUCUAGACAGUGCCCAAAGAAACUAUGCUACUACGGAAAAGGAAUUCUUAGCAGUCGUGUUUGCAUGUGAAAAGUUCAGGUCUUACAUAGUUGAUUCGAAAGUCACUAUUCACACUGAUCAUGCUGCUAUUAAGUACCUCAUGGAUAAGAAGGACGCUAAACCUAGACUUAUCAGAUGGGUUCUCUUGCUACAAGAAUUUGAUUUGCACGUUGUCGACAAAAAGGGUGCUGAUAACCCCGUAGUAGAUAACUUGUCUAGGUUAGAGAACGUUCUUGAUGACCCACAACCUAUUGAUGAUAGCUUUCCCGAUGAGCAAUUGAAUGCCAUCAAUGCUUCCCGUAGUGCACCGUGGUGUGCUGAUUAUGCAAACUAUAUUGUUGCCAAAUAUAUAGCACCUAGUUUCACAUACCAACAAAAUAAGAAAUUCUUCUUUGAAUUGAGACAUUACUUUUGGGAUGAUCCUCACCUUUGUAAGGAAGGAGUAGAUGGUGUUAUUAGACGUUGUGUACCUGAACAUGAACAGGGACAGAUGCUACAGAAGUGUCACUCCGAGACCUAUGGAGGACACCAUGCGGGAGAUAGAACUGCACACAAGGUAUUGCAAUCAGGUUUCUAUUGGCCCACUCUCUUCAAGGAUGCCCGUAAGUUUGUCUUGUCUUGUGACGAAUGUCAAAGAAUAGGUAAUAUUAGCAAACAUCAGGAAAUGCCUAUGAACUAUUCACUUGUCAUUGAACCAUUUGAUGUCUGGGGCUUUGAUUAUAUGGGACCUUUUCCAAAAUCCAACGGGUAUACUCAUAUCUUAGUUGAUGUUGAUUACGUCACUAAGUGGGUAGAAUCUAUCCCCACUAGUAGUGCUGAUAACAACACCUCUAUCAGGAUGCUGAAAGAAGUUAUCUUCCCUAGAUUUGGAGUCCCUAGAUAUCUAAUGACCGACGGUGGUUCACAUUUCAUUCAUGGUGCUUUCCGUAAAACGCUUGCUAAGUACGAUGUCAACCAUAGAAUUGCGUCUCUCUAUCACCCUCAGUCCAGUGGUCAAGUAGAGCUAAGCAAUAGAGAGAUUAAACUGAUGCUACAAAAUACUGUCAACAGGUCUAGAAAGAAUUGGUCUAAGAAGCUCGAUGAUGCACUGUGGGCUUAUAGAACUGCCUAUAAGAAUCCCAUGGGCAUGUCUCCGUACAAAAUGGUGUACGGUAAAGCAUGUCAUUUACCUCUUGAGCUAGAGCUUAAAGCUUAUUGGGCAAUCAAAGAGCUCAACUUUGAUUUCAAACUUGCCGGUGAGAAGAGGUUAUUUGAUAUUAGUUCGCUUGAUGAAUGGAGAACUCAGGCAUAUGAGAAUGCCAAGUUGUUCAAAGAAAAGGUUAAGGGGUGGCAUGAUAAGAGGAUACAAAAGCGUGAGUUCAAUGUAGGUGAUUAUGUCUUGCUAUAUAACUCUCGUUUAAGAUUCUUUGCAGGCAAGCUUCUCUCUAAAUGGGAAGGUCCCUAUGUUGUUGAGGAAGUAUAUCGUGCCGGUGCUAUCAAGAUCAACAACACGGAAGGUAAUUGUCCGAGAGUUGUAAAUGGGCAGAGAAUCAAGUAUUAUAUCUCACGUACUCCCAUAAAUGUUGAAAGCAAUAUUAUCAAUACCAUAACUCCGGAAUAAUACCUGAGGGAUAUUUAUCAGCCUGUUUCAGACUCUGAAAAUGAAGAGGUAUGUGAUUCGGUAAGAAAACAGAGUCCAAAACUUAUCCAAUAGGAAAUUUUCUCCGUUUUGGAAUAUUUAAAAAAAUACAAAAAUUGGAAGUAGUGCGAAAAGUGCGCGAGGAGGCGACAAGCCUGCAUGGCGUGGGCCCACCCCCUGGCCGCGCCGUGAGGGCUUGUGGCCACCUCGUGCGCCUCCCGGACUUCAUUUUCGUGCAGGGUACUCCUUCUGGUCUGAAAAAAAUUUAUUAUACAUACUUCCGUUUGGUUUGACCCCUGCAUCACGCAGAUUUCCUUUGUUUUUCGUUCCGAGCCUGUUUUCUGCCGCAGAUUUAGGGCAAGAUGUCUUGUCAAGAUUCAGAGGGGGAGAGCUUUGUGGCAGAUUAUCUUGCUAAUCCCAAGGUCUAUGGGGACUUGGAUCCUUAUGGCUGGACCACAGAUGAGGAAGAAUAUUAUGAUCCGAAGGGGAAGGAACAAACGAGUUCCGAUGAAGACGAGGCUCCUCUACCUCAACCUGGACGCACGCAUGUGGAGUUCAAGAAGUCGAGCCUCCCUGACUCAAGGAAGAAGCCUAAGACCUUGUUUAUGCCUUCUCGUUUCUUGCAGGAGAGUAAGCAGUAAUUAUGCAAAAGGGUGUUGAAGCUUGAAGAGGAAAAUGAUGAUCUGAGGGAGCAGAAUUUUAUGCUCAAGUGGAAAUUUAACAAGCUCAAGACCUCUGCAACAACUCCAGCACCAUCACCACCAAAGGAAGACAACUGAGCAUUGGUAUGGGAAAUCCCCUUGGCUUGUGCCAAGCUUGGGGGAGUUGCCCCGUUAUCGUAUCACCAUCACAUCUUUUGCCUUUACCUUUGUUUUAGUUUUCCUUUUCAGUUUUCUCUUUUUCUAGUAGAUUAAAAGUCUUAGUGUUUUAGUCUUGAGUUUUGCUUUGUGUCACCCCCGAUGUAUUCGAGCUCGUGAGCCAUAUAAUAAAGAGUGUCUUAGUUGAAGGGCUUUGCCUCUUGCCAUGAUCAAAAGAGUGAGAAUAGAACAAAAGCAUGAAAGAUCAUGUAAUGAUCUUAUGGGAAGUGAUGGCUUCACAUACAAAAAGAAUGAGGAUUGAAACUUGUUGAGGGUAGGCAAACGUAGACCAUGGUCAUGGUUGCAAUUAAUAGGAAGUGAUAAGGAAGGAGAGGUUCACAUAUAAAUAUAUCAUCUCUGACACCAUCUAUGAUUGUGAACACUCACUAAACUAUUGCAUGCCUAGAAGUAGAUGUUGGACAAGGAAGACAAUGUAAUGAAUUGUGUUUGCUUGGCUCCGAACAAUGUUAUAUGAUUAGAGAUCCCUUAGCAUGUGACGAUUGCUUCCACCUCAUAUUAGCCAAAACCUCUCGCACCAAGUAGAGAUACUACUUGUGCAUCCAUAAACCUUCAAACCAGUUUUGCCAUGAGUGUCCACCAUACCUACCUAUGGAUUGAAUAAGAUCCCUCAAGUAAGUUGUCAUUGGUGCAAGCAAUAAAAAUUUCUUCUAAUAUGUAUGAUCUAUUAGUGUGUGGAAAAUAAGCUUUAUACAAACCUGUGAUGAGGAAGACAUAAAAGAGACAGACUGCAUAAUAAAGUUCUUUAUCACAUGGGCAAUAUAAAGUGACGUUCGCACUAAGAGGACACGCAUCCAAACCUCAAAAGCGCAUGACAACCUCUGCUUCCCUCUGUGAAGGGCCUAUCUUGUACCUUUACUUUUUGCCCUUGAAAGAGUCAUGGUGAUCUUCACCAAUUCCUUAUUUCGCCUUUAUCUUGGCUACCGUCAUAUGCUUGGGAAAGAUCUAUAUUCAUAUGUCAACUUGGAGGUAGGCAUUCAUGAAUUAUUAUUGUUGACAUUGCCCUUGAGGUAAGCAGUUGGGAGGCAAAACUAUAAGCCCCUAUCUUUCUCUGUGUCCAGCUGAAACUUUGAUCUCAUGAGUACCACGUGAUUUGUAGCAAUUGUAGAGAACGAAAGAAUGAUUGAGUAUGUGGAUUUGCUUUACAAGCUCUUAUUUGACUCUUUCUGAUGUUGUGAUAAAUUGCAAUUGCUUCAAUGACUAAAGGCUAUCGGUUGUUACUUCUCGGUAAGGUUCUUGAUCCAUGCUUUACUUUGUGAAGGAAUUGUCACUUUAGCAUGAGAGAUUAUAUGUUGGUAUUGUUGUUCUGAUCAUAAUCAUGAUGCAUGCAUGUUCGUAUCUUGUUUUGUCGAAACCUCUCUCCCUAAACAUGUGGACAUAUUUAUUGAGCCAAGCUUUCGCUUGAGGACAAGCGAGGUCUAGGCUUGGGGGAGUUGAUACGUCCAUUUUGCAUCAUGUUUUCAUUUGAUAUUUAUUGCUUCUUGGGCUAUUAUUUCACUUCACGGUACAAUUCUUAUGCCUUUUCUCUCUUAUUUUGCAAGGUUUACAUGAAGAGGGAGAAUACCGACAACUGGAAUUCUGGCCUGAAAGUGGAGCAAGUUUGAGAUACCUAUUCUGCGCAACUUCAAACGCCGUAAAAAUCAACGAGGAUUUUUUCCCGAUUUAUCAAAAAUACUGGGCCGAAGAAGCACCAGAGGGGCGCCAGGGGGUGGCCACAAGCCUGCACGGCGCGACCACCCCCCAGGCCGCGCCAUGGGGGCUUGUGGGCACCCUGCUGGCCCACUUGCCCCCUCUUUUGCUAUAUGGAGGGUUUUGUCCAGGAAAAAAUCAGAGAGGAGCCUUUUCGUGGUUUCGCCGCCGCCACGAGGCAGAACUUGAGAAGAACCACUCUAGAGCUCCUGCAGGACGAUCCUGCCGGGGAAACUUCCCUCCUGGAGGGGGAAAUCGUCGCCAUCGUCAUCACCAACACUCCUCUCAUCGGAGGGGACUCGUCACCAUCAACAUCUUCAUCAGCACCAUCUCAUCUCCAAACCCUAGUUCAUCACUUGUAACCAAUCUCCGUCUCGCAACUCCGAUUGGUACUUGUAAGGUUGCUAGUAGUGUUGAUUACUCUUUGUAGUUGAUGCUAGUUGGAUUAUUUGGUGGAAGAGUUUAUGUUCAAAUCCUUGAUGCUACUCAUUACCUCUCUGGUCAUGAAUAUGAUUAUGCUUUGUGAGUAGUUACUUUUGUUCCUGAGGACAUGGGAUAAGUCAUGCUAAUAGUAGUCAUGUGAAUUUGGUAUUCGUUCGGUAAUUUGAUGUGUUGUAUGUUUUUUUCCUCUAGUGGUGUUAUGUGAAUGUCGACUACAUAACACAUCACCAUUAUUUGGGCCUAGAGGAAGGCAUUGGGAAGUAGUAAGUAGAUGAUGGGUUGCUAGAGUGACAAAAGCUUAAACCCUACUUUAUGCGUUACUUCGUAAGGGGCUGAUUUGGAUCCACUAGUUUAAUGCGAUGGUUAGACUUUGUCUUAAUUCUUCUUUCGUAGUUGCGGAUGCUUGCGAGAGGGGUUAAUCAUAAGUGGGAUGCUUGUCCAAGUAAGGGCAGUACCCAAGCGCCGGUCCACCGACAUAUCAAACUAUCAAAGUAACGAACGUGAAUCAUAUGAACAUGAUGAAAACUAUCAUGACAGAAAUUCCCAUGUGUCCUUGGGAGCGUUUCUCCUCCUAUAAGACUUUGUCCAGGCUUGUCCCUUCCUACAAAAGGGAUUGGGACACUUUGCUGCACCGUUGCUACUUUUGUUACUUGUUGCUUGCUACGAAUCAUCUCACCACACAAUCACUUGUUACCGACAAUUUGAGUGCUUGCAGAUUUUUCCUAGCUGAAAACCACUUGUCAGAUCCUUCUGCUCCUCGUUGGGUUCGACACUCUUACUUAUCGAAAGGACUACGAUUGAUCCCCUAUACUUGUGGGUCAUCAAUCAACGAUAGGGAAUCACGGUGACGUGGCAUCAUUAGCGUGUGAUCACUGUAGCUUAAUUACAAUCAUCACUGUAGCAAAAGUUGAGGAUGUCACAAUUGCCAUAACAGCCCUAGCGUCAUCGAAUCUUAAGUGUGUAGACCCUACGGGUUCGGGAACCAUGCAGACAUGACCGAGGCAUCUCUCUGGCCAAUAACCAAAAGCGGGGUCUGUAUAUCCAUGUUGGUUCCCACAUGUUCCACGAUGAUCUCAUCAGAUGAACUACGAUGUCGGGGAUUCAAUCAAUCCCGUAUGCAAUUCCCUUUGUCUACCGGUAUGAUACUUGCCCGAGAUUCGAUCGUCGGUAUCCCUAUACCUUGCUCAAUCUCGUUGCCGGCAAGUCUCUUUACUCGUUCUGUAACACAUCAUCCCGUGGCUAACUCCUUUGUCAUAUUGAGCUCAUUAUGAUGAUGGAUUACCGACUGGGCCCAAAGAUACCUCUCCAUUACACGGAGUGACAAAUCCCAGUCUCGAUUCGUACAAACCCAACAGACACUUUCGGAGAUACCUGUAGUGCACCUUUAUAAUCACUUAGUUACGUUGUGACGUUUGGUACACCAAAAGCACUCCUACGGUAUCUGGGAGUUGCACAAUCUCAUGGUCUAAGGAAAUGAUACUUGACAUUAGAAAAGCUUUAGCAGACGAACAAUACGAUCUAGUGUUAUGCUUAGGAUUGGGUCUUGUCCAUGAAAUCAUUCCCCAAUGAUGUGAUCCCGUUAUCAAUGACAACCAAUGUCCAUGAUCAGGAAACCAUGAUCAUCUAUUGAUCAACGAGCUAGCCAACUAGAUGCUCACUGGGGACAUGUUGUGGUCUAUAUAUUCACACAUGUAUUACGGUUUCCGGUUAAUACAAUUAUAGCAUGAACAAGGAAAUAUAAUAAUAACCAAUUUAUCAUUGCCUCUAGGGCAUAUUUGCAACAUUUUGUGGUUGUUUCUUGGGUAAUAGGUAAGAAAAAUAAAUCUAAUUUAGGGAUAACUGCAAAUUCUCAUCGAGCAACCUAAAAACUGAUACCACUUGAUACAAACGAGGCCCCCGAUCUUUCUAUGAGAUGGUGGCUAUCGAUUUGGUGGAGACGACUUUGACGAUCUGACUACAAACGUGCACGACGUUGCGCCUUAGCAAUCACUAAACCAAUCUCCAAGAGGUUAUUGACCACACUGGAGCACGUUCAACCUGACCACGAAGGUCUAUUCCUUCAAUAAAUCAAAGAACAAGCAAGAAUAUAAUAUUGCAAUCUGAAUAAUUGCGAAUAUAGAUGAAGUAUUGAUAAGGGUGGGCAUCCGAAAGAGGUCUUAGUUUGGUCGUUGGACACAAACAAAGUACCCGAAGUUACAAUGGCUAACUUUUAACUAAACAAAUCCCAAGCAAGAAGCUACUAGGUUGAUCUACUUAUAUAGGAGAAAAGGGUGGCGGCCAAGGAGGUGGGAGGACAUCCCAAGGUAGCCUAAAACUAAUCCUAGGUCGUACAAGGCCUAUGGGCCCAAGUGGAGAUGGUGCAACACCUUUGGACUUGUUGUUUGAUUCAGAUUCUUUUUUUAGAUAAGAAGGGUCAUCCCCCGGCCUCUCCAUCAAUCGAUGGUUUGACUCGGAUUCUGGUGCAACGUCAUAUUUUUUGGUCGAUAUCUCCACGCUCCGGACGAAUUUAAAGGUUAAUCCAAUUGGGCUGGAAUGUACAUAAAAUAUACUUUUCAACCCAAAAAUAAUCACCCAAUUCGGAGUCCGGAUGUAAAAGUUAUUUGCGUUCUGGUACAAGUAUGUGUGUGUAGUCUGAAUCUGAGUCCAGAACGUGAAAGACUUGGACUCUAUCUUCUCUUGGGCUAAAAGUGACGUGAGAAAACUUCUUGAAUGACAACUAAUUAUUUACUUUGACAUGACAUGACCUAUUGAAUAGCACCCAACCAUUUACUCUUCCCUUGUUAUCACACGUGGUUCAUACAAGUGUUCGACCAUUCUGCAUUUAGACAUAAAAUAAAAACAAGUGAAGUAUUUUUGUUCCGCGUAACAUAAAUAAAUUAUUGCAUGAAUUUUAUUAGAAAUCACCUCAAAUAAACACGCAUAUGCAAUAAUUGUGAUAAUAUCCAAGGUAGUUAUGUCCACAUUACGUUUCAUGACCCGUCUCCCCGUAGAUAGUACUCAAUGAGGGCGCAUGACUUCAGAGGGGUCAUUUGGCAUAGGGGUGACGAGGCAGGGGUGGGAGUGUUUUGUUUUUGAAUUUUCACCGAGGGUUGAAGAGUUUCCCCGACGUGGUCCUGUUUUUUGAAUUACAUCGAGGUUUAGAGAGAGUGAUGGGUGGGAGUGUUGAAGCCCGGCGUGGCGUAUGAUCUUGAUUUUUCUACGGGAUAUGUGCUUGCGCGAGAUCCUGGUUAACAAACAUAUUCCAUUGCACAAGAGGUAGUCGGAGUUGCCACAUGCACUCUCCGCCAUGGGGUGGAUUGGUUUCUCCUGGUCCGAGCCCUUGGCAUCGAUCUUCUCCUAGUCGAUGUCAUCAUCCUCUUUGUCCAUUGAUUCUUCCUUCGCGGUGGAUGAAGCAGUGGAAGACUCCCACGCACACGACAUGUGGUCGGUCUAGAGAGGCAUGGUGUCUUUGCAUUGAUGGCGAUUGGAUUCAGAGGUCCUCCCAGAUCUCAUGCCACGACGUGGUAGUAGAUGGUUAGAGAGGUAUACACCGAGCAGACACCACUCCUAGCUUCGCUCCUUCUCCUCCUACGUGUUCUUCUUGCCCAUCAGAGUGGUCGGUGACAAUGUGGUGAGUGGCCAUUUGUGGCUAGUGUUUUGGCAGGGAAAUGAAGCGAAAGUGAGAGAGGUGAGGGGGCUGUCGGAUCGACAUGACGAACAUCUUGACUCCCUGAUAACCCACAGGUGUAGGGGAUCGCAAUAGUUUUCGAGGGUAGAGUAUUCAACCCAAAUUUGUUGGUUCGCACAAGGGGAAGCGAAAGAAUAUUCUCAAGUAUUAGCAGCUGAGUUUAUCAGAUUCAACCACACCUGAAAGAUUAGUGUCUACAAGCAAAGUAUCAGUAGCAAAGUAGUAUGAUAGCAACGGUGCUAGAAAUGAUCUGUUGACGGCAGACUAUUCCUAACUGUUGUAUCAAUGGUGCCAGUAGGUUGCACGUGGACGGGAAAUAUUCGUCCCCAGCAACGUUGUCGGAAAAGGUCUUGCAACAAGUAACAACGAAGUAGCAAGGAACAUCAGUAGCAGCAGCAGCAAAGUAACAGCAGUAGCAACAGUAGUAGCAAAGUGGCCAAAUCCCUUUUGUAGCAAGGGACAAGCCUAGACAAAGUAACGUAGAGAGGACCAGUAGUAAAAGACUCGUAUGCAGUGGAUGGUGAUGGAUGAGUAUGACGGAUGUGAUUCAUCAUGUAACAGCUAUAACACGGAGAGAUAAGUAACUAGGUCUCGUUCGUCAAUCUAAUGUAGGCAUGUAUUCCGUAUGUAGUCAUACGUGCUUAGGGAAAAGAACUUGCAUGACAUCUAUUGUCCAUCCCUCCCGUGGCAGUGGGGUCCUAAUGGAAACUACGGGAUAUUAAGGUUCUCCGUUUAAUAAAGAACCGGACCAACGCAUUAACACGCGGUGAAUACAUGAACUCCUCAUACUAUGGUCAUCUCCGGGAGUGGUUCCGGCUAUUGUCACUCCGGGGUUGCCGAGUCAUAACACAUAGUAGGUGACUACAACUUGCAAGAUAGGAUCUAAAACACACAUAUAUUGGCAACAACAUAAUAGGUUCAGAUCUGAAAUCAUGUCACUCGGGCCCUAGUGAAAAGCAUUAAGCAUAGCCAAGUAGUAGCAACAUCAAUCUAGAACAUAGUGGAUACUAGGGAUCAAUCCCCGUCAAGAACUAACUCGAUUACAUGAUAGAUCUCAUCCAACUCAUCACCGUCCAGCAAGACUACGGUGAGAUUACUCAAGAACGGUGAAGAGCAUCAUGGAAUUGUCGAUGGAGGAAGUUUGAUGAUGACGAUGGCGACGAUUUCCCCUCUCCCGAGCCCGGAACGGACUCUAGAUCUGCCCUCCAGAUGAAGAACAGGAUGUGGCGGCGCCUCCGUAUCGCAAAAUGCGAUGAAAUCUUCUCUCUGAUUUUUUUUCCGGGCGAAAGGAAGAUAUAGAGCCGACUUUGGGGGCGGUGGAGCCACGUGGGCCCCACAAGCCCUCACGACGCGGCCAUGGGGGGUGGCCGCGGCCUGUGGGCUUGUGGCCCACUGGUCCACCUCCUCUAGUGGAUCUUUGCGCAGUUAUUUUUCUUUUAUUCCAGAAAAAAUAUCCGUAAAUUUUCAGGACGUUCCGAGAACUUCUAUUUCUGCACAAAAACAACACCAUGGCAAUUCUGCUGAAAACAGCGUCAGUCCGGGUUAGUUUCAUUCAAAUCAUGCAAGUUAGAGUCCAAAACAAGGGCAAAAGAGUUCGGAAAAGUAGAUACGACGGAGACGUAUCAACUCCCCCAAGCUUAAAGCCUUGCUUGUCCUCAAGCAAUUCAGUUGACAAACUGAAAGAGACAAAAGAAAAACUUUGACGAACUCUGUUUGAUCUUGUUGUUGUAACUAUGUCUAACUCACAACUAGAAUUUCAGCAAGAUCACAAGCAAACCACAUAAGCAAAUGACAUCUAGGUCUCACGGUAAACUCAUAUCAAUGGCAUAAUCAGCUAGCGAGCAAAUAAUAAUAAGUCUCAAACGUCAACACUUCAAUCAAAACAACAUGAAGCAGUACAAAUAGAUAGUAUCUCGCUAGCUCUUUCUGAGAACGCAAAACAUAAAUGCAGAGCACCUUCAAAGACCAAGGGCUGACUAAACAUUGUAAUUCAUGGCAAUGAAGAUCCAGUCACAGUCACACUCAACACAGUUAAAAGCAAAGCAUAAAAACGACAGAGGUGCUCUCUAAUUGGUGCUUUUAUAAGAGGAGGAUGACUCAAUAGGAACAUAAAUAGAAAGGCCCUUCACAGAGGGAAGCAUUGAUUUGCAGAGGUGCCAGAGCUCAAGCUUUUAAAACAGAGAUAAUAAUAUUGGGUGGCAUGCUUUCAUUGUCAACGCAAUGACUAAGAGUUCUCAACAUCUUCCACGUUACACAUGCUACAGGCGGUUCCCAAACAGAAAAGUAAAGUUUUGAUUCCCCCACCACCAAUCAAUCACACUCCAUGGCUAGCCGAAUCCUCGGGUACCGUCCAUACCAACAUCAAUCCUGGGGGAGUUUUUUUUGCAAUUAUCUUUUCGAUUUGAGCAUGGAACUGGGAAUUCCAAUUACCGGCCCCUUUCUCGUGAAUGAUAGUGAAUAAACACAUAUCGAGGAUAACACGCCUAGCAUGGAAGAUACCAAUAGCCCCCUGUCACCACAUGAGCGGUUCGGGCAUGCAAAACCGAUUAUUUCUUGAAGAUUUAGAGAGUGGCACAUGCAAAUUUACUUGGAACGGCAGGUAGAUACCGCACAUAGGUAGGUAUUGUGGACUCAUAUGGCACAACUUUGGGUUUAUGGAAGUGGAUGCACAAGCAGUAUUCCCACUUAGUACAAGUGAAGGCUAGCAAAAGACUGGGAAGCGACCAACUAGAGAGCAACAACGGUCAUCAAAAUGCAUUGAGAUUAACUAACAUUGAGUGCAAGCAUGAGUAGGACAUAAAUCACCAUGAACAUGAAUAUCAUAGAGGCUAUGUUGAUUUUGUUUCAACUACAUGCGUGAACAUGCGCCAAGUCAAGCCACUUGAAUCAUUCAAAGGAGGAUACCAUCCUAUCGUACUACAUCAUAGUCAUCUCAACAUUCAUGUGGGCAACCAAGACAAACCAUUAUAAGCUCCUAGUUAAGUAAGCAUGGCAUAAGCAACUAUGAUCUCUAAGUUGUCAUUGCAAACAUGUUUCUCUCACAACAAAGCUGAAUCAGGCAUGAUGACCUAGUCAUAUUUAUAAAAACAAAAUAGAUCGAGUUCAUACCAGCUUUUCCAGGCUCAGCCACUUCAUCAUAUAUCGUCAUUAUUGCCUUUCACUUGCACGACCGAACGAUGUGAACAAUAAUAAGAGUGCUCGUGCAUUGUACUAAAGCUGGAAUCUGCAGGCAAACACAAAGGAGAAGACAAAGUAAUAUGGCUCUUUGAAAGCUAAACAGGUAUGCAUGCAAGAGCCACUGAACAUUGUAACCAAUAUCUUCUACCUUUACCCAAAGAAAAAGAAAACUAUUUACACGGGAAAGCUCCCAACAAGCAAAAGAAGAGAAGAAAAUCUUUGUGGGUUUUCUCAAACUAAACAGACACACUAAACGAAAACGAGAAAAAGAAAAUAAACUAACAUGGAUGAUACAGUGGCAAAGUGUGAACACCGGCUAACAAAGUGACAGCAUAAGCAAGAAUGUAAAGUCGGUGAGAACACGUACUCCCCCAAGCUUAGGCUUUUGGCCUAAGUUGGUCUACUCCCAAGGAGGGAAAUAACCAGCUUCGGAUACUCCGGAGUGGACUGAGGAUGCCACUGCUGUGUGAGCUCCUUUGGCUCCCACUGAUAAACCGACGUCUGGUACUCGACUGUUGGCUCGGGCACGGGCACCUGUGGUUGGGCUAGGCCCCAAUAUGCGUAGAUGUCCGAGGGUAUAAUAGUGUACCUGCCUUCAUGAAGAUUGAACAAAGAAGGAGCAGGCAAAGUAAUAGUCUCACGAGUACCCUGACUAAAUACCAGGUUAUAAAUCAUCCUUCUAUUUAUAUCUCUAUCAAGAAAGUCAUGGCGAACCAUGCUAUCGUAAUCUAGAUAUCUCUCGGGAAGAAGAACCUCUUCUUCCUCAUCCAGUCUAAUGGGUAUCUCAAAGUGUCUGGCAAGACGGGUAGCAUAGAUACCUCCAUAUACGACACCUUUAGAACGGUUCAGGUUCAACUGUUGAGCUACUAUAGCGCCCAAGCUAUAAGUUUGAUCGUUAUAAAGGGCUUCGCGCAAGACCGCAAGAUCUGGGGAACUAAGUGACCCAGAUUUCCCACGACCAAUCAAACAUUUCCCACAAAUAGUGAGAAGUACCGAAGCACGGGAAAAUGAAUGCUAGUAGCUCUAGGGCAAGACACUCCUCUCUCCUCUCCUACAACAAUAGUACCGAUGAAAGCUUCCAAGUCCCGUGGACGAGGUUCAUGAAUAUCCCCAACAAAAGGCAAUUUGCAAACAUUGCAAAAAUCCUGGAGUGACAUGCGCUGGGGGAUAUCAUAAAGUUUGAACUCAACCAUAGGAGGAUUCUUCCUCGGAUAGAAGUUAAAGCUUUGUGCGAAGAUAUUACCGAGGAGGAGGUAUUGAGGACACUCAUCUUCAACGAAGGCGGUAAGGCCUGCGUUUUCCACCAAGUGAUAAGUCCUCAUAAAUUCCAGCGGUGCGUAAGAACACGUCGCUUGGCCACUCGCACGCUCAAACUUCUGCGACUCGAGGGCCCUGAUACUUGGGCUUAUUCUCACUCCCAUCAUCCUUGGGGUCACGGCUUGAAGAGCCUCUUAAGAACCUCCUCAUCUUUUCCCUUUUCUAUCUCUGAAAAUUUCUGAAAUUUUUAGUGACUCUAAGGAAAAGUGAAUAAGGGUCAAUGAAACUCGUAGCAACUACUCACACAAGUGCCUAGAGGCCAUAUUACGCAUCAAAAUUACUUGGGACCAGCUAAAAUCAGCAUGCAAAGCUCAAGAACAUGGUCACCAAGGCAGCAAAAAUACACGAAGUAUAAGGCACUAGAGAAAAAACUAAUUGGACCAAUGGAGGAGUCACUUACCAAGGAGUAAUUUCCCCAAAACAGUUCGGAGAACGGUGAUUUGAGCAAAGAGAUCAAAAAUCCCAGCAAGAGGAGCAAGAACACGGGUUUGAGCUGCGAAACGAUUUUUUCUGGAGGAAGGAGAAGGAGAUAAGAGCAAGAAGGAGUGGAGGGGGUGCCUGUGGGCCCCACAAGCCUGGGUGGCGCAGCCAGGGGGGUGCCCGCGCCCCUAGGGCUUGUGGCCCACUGGUGUGGCCCCCAGACAGACUCUUUGUCCCAGUAUUUCUCAAAAAAUCCGGAAAAAAUCAUACUUGAUUUUCACGGCGUUCGGAGAACUUUUAUUUUCGGGGUACUUUUCUACCGGACGCGAAAACAGAAAACAGGGAAAACUAAACUAAACCUAUCAUUUUUCUUCUAAGCAACCUAAAGUGAAUGCUUGGAAGAGAGGUUCGCGACUCCUCGAUUCAUCCAUCUCAUGGUCAUCGAAAGAAAUCCGUCAAUGGGGUUGAUCAAAUCCCCUCGACAAAACUUUCUCGAAUCGCAAAAGAGAACGGAGAAUUUUCGAACAGUCACUAGGUCACCUCAAUGGGGAUGUGAAUCUCCCCAACAAGCAAAUCAUACUUCAUCUUGACACAAGGAAUAGGGCAUUCAAAGCUCCCAAUGAGAAUCGAUGAAGUUUUUUCGAUAGCAUUGAUGCAAUGUACUCGAUAUUGUUUCUUCGAAAAUUGUACCGUAUGAUCAUUACUGUUGACAUGGAAAGUGACAUUGCCUUUGUUGCAAUCUAUAACAACCCCUCGGUGUUUAAAAAGGGUCUUCCGAGGAUGACGGACAUGGCAUCGUCCUCGAGAAUAUCCAAGAUAACAAAGUCUGUUAAGAUAGUGGUGUUAGCAACCACAAUAGGCACAUCCUCGCAAAUGCCGAUAGGGAAGGCAGUUGAUUUGUCGGACAUUUGCAGAGAGAUUUGAGUGGGUGUCAACUUAUCCAGUUCAAGUCUACGAUAAAGAGAGAGAGGCAUAACACUAACACCGGCUCCAAGAUCGCAUAAAGCAGUUCUAACGUAGUUACCUUUAAUGGAGCAAGGUAUAGUGGGCACACCGGGAUCACCUAGUUUCUUAGGAGUUCCACCCUUGAAGGUAUAAUUAGCAAGCAUGGUGGAAAUAUCAACCUCAGGUAUCCUCCUAUUAUUAGUCACAAUAUCUUUCAUGUACUUAGCAUACGGAGACAUCUUGAGCAUAUCUGUCAAACGCAUUUGCAGAAAGACAGGUCUGAUCAUUUCAAUGAAUUGCUCAAAAUCCUCAUCAUCCUUUCUCUUGGAUGGUUUGGGAGGAAAGGGCAUGGGUUUCUGAACCCAUGGUUCCCUUUCUUUACCAUGCUUCCUAGCAGCGAAGUUAUUCUUAUCGUAUCUCUUAGUCUUAGGCUGUGGGUUAUCAAGAUCAACACUAGGUUCAAUCUCCACAUCCUUUUCAUUGCUAGGUUGAGCAUCAUCAUGAACAUCACUAUUGAUAUUAUCAUUAGGCUCAUGUUCAUCACCAAAUUGUGUUUCAGCAUCAGAGACAGAGACAUCCUUUGGACUCUUAGGGGUAGCAGCAACAGGGUUGCUAGCGUGCAGGUUCCUAUCAUCUUUCUUCUUCUUCCUAGGAUGACUAGGUGCAUCAGUGCUAAUUCCUUGGGAAUCUUGUUCAAUUCUCUUCGGAUGACCCUCAGGAUACAGAGGUUCCUAGGUCAUUCUACCGCCUCUAGUAACGACAAUACAAAAUUGUCAUUCAACUUGUUAAGCAAGUCAUUUUGAGCUUUGAGUACUUGUUCUACCUGAGUAGUAACCAUAGAGGCAUGCUUACUCAGAAGCUUAAGAUCAUUGACGUUUCUGUCCACACAAGCACUUAAAUGACUAAGCAUACGAGCAUUCUGUUCCAAUUGUCUGCUAACAUAAUCAUUGAAACUUUGUUGUUUGGCAAUGAAGUUAUCAAAUUCAUCCAUGCAUAAGCUAGCGGGUUUAUCAAAAGGAAUAUCACUCUCAUCAAACCUACGCAGAGAAUUUACUUCUACUACCCGUAUCGGGUUAUCGAGACCAUGGAUCUCUUCGAUAGGUGGUAGAUUUUUGACAUCUUCAGAUUUAAUGCCUUUCUCUCGCAUAGAUUUCUUGGCUUCUUGCAUAUCUUCAGGACUGAGGAAUAGAAUACCUCUUUUCUUCGGAGUUGGCUUAGGAGGUGGUUCGGGAAUAGUCCAAGCAUUCUCAUUGCACAAGAUGUUAUUCAGCAGAAUCUCAGCUUGUUCUACGGUUCGUUCCCUAAAAAGACAACCGGCACAACUAUCUAGGUGGUCAUUGGAAGCAUCGAUAAGUUCAUUAUAGAAGAUAUCAAGUAUUUCAUUCUUCUCAAGAGGGUGAUCAGGCAAAGCAUUCAGUAGCUGGAUGAGCCUCCCCCAAGCUUGUGGGAGACUCUCUUCUUCAGCUUGAGCAAAGUUGUAUAUUUCCUGCAAGGCAUCUUGCUUCUUAUGGGCAGGGAAAUAUUUUUCAGAGAAGUAGUAGACCAUAUCCUGGGGGCUAUGCACACAACCAGGAGCAAGAGUAGUGAACCAAGUCUUAGCAUCAUCCUUUAGUGAGAAAGGAAAUAGCUUGAGCAUAUAGUAGUGGUGGAUCUUUUCCUCACUAGUGAAUAGGGUGGCUAUAUCGUGCAAUUUGGUAAGAUGGGCUACAACCGUUUCAGACUCAUAACCGUGAAAAGGAUUAGAUUCGACCAUAGUGAUUAACUCAGGGUCGAUAGAGAAUUCAUAAUCCUUAUCGGUCACAAAGAUAGGCGAAGUAGCAAACUUCGGGUCGUAUUUCAUCCUAGCGUUCAGAGAUUUUUCUUUCCACUUGAGCAGUAGUUUCUCAACAUCAUAACUAUCCUUACACGCAAGAAAGUCCUCAGCUAUCUCUCCCUCCAUAACAUAGCGCGUAUCAGGCAUAGUAGCAGGUUCUACUUCAAUAGUAUCAGCAAUUUCAGAAGUAUCAUCACAUCUAGCAGCAACUCUAGCAAUAUGUGCAUCAAGGAAUGCACCUAGUGGCAAAGCAGUAUCAAGCAUAGCAUCNNNNNNNNNNNNNNNNNNNNNNNNNNNNNNNNNNNNNNNNNNNNNNNNNNNNNNNNNNNNNNNNNNNNNNNNNNNNNNNNNNNNNNNNNNNNNNNNNNNNNNNNNNNNNNNNNNNNNNNNNNNNNNNNNNNNNNNNNNNNNNNNNNNNNNNNNNNNNNNNNNNNNNNNNNNNNNNNNNNNNNNNNNNNNNNNNNNNNNNNNNNNNNNNNNNNNNNNNNNNNNNNNNNNNNNNNNNNNNNNNNNNNNNNNNNNNNNNNNNNNNNNNNNNNNNNNNNNNNNNNNNNNNNNNNNNNNNNNNNNNNNNNNNNNNNNNNNNNNNNNNNNNNNNNNNNNNNNNNNNNNNNNNNNNNNNNNNNNNNNNNNNNNNNNNNNNNNNNNNNNNNNNNNNUCAAGCAUAGCAUCAUCAUAAGCAUCAUGGGCAGUAGAAGUAGCAUCAUCAAGCACAUGCGACAUAUCAAGAUUUCUAGCAGGAGGUGAUGUCGCAAACUUACUCAUAACUGAAGGUGAAUCAAGUGCAGAGCUAGAUGGCAGUUUCUUACCUCUCCUCGUAGUGGAAGGUAGGAUUUUAGUUCUUGGAUCUUUCGGAUUCCUCAUCGUGAUCAGCAGACGUCAAUCCCAAGUGACUCAGAGAAUAUAGCUGUGCUUCCCCGGCAACGGCGCCAGAAAAAGCCUUGAUAACCAACAUGUGUAGGGGAUCGCAACAGUUUUCAAGGGUAGAGUAUUCAACCCAAAUUUGUUGGUUCGCACAAGGGGAAGCGAAAUAAUAUUCUCAAGUAUUAGCAGCUGAGUUUGUCAGAUUCAACCACACAUGAAAGAUUAGUGUCUGCAAGCAAAGUAUCAGUAGCAAAGUAGUGUGAUAGCAACGAUGCCAAAAAAGAUCUGUUGACGGCAGACUAUUCCUAACUGUUGUAUCAAUGGCGCCAGUAGGUUGCACGUGGACGGGAAAUAUUCUUCCUCGGCAACGGUGUCGGAAAAGGUCUUGCAACAAGUAACAAUGAAGUAGCAAGGAACAACAGUAGCAACAACAACAAAGUAACAACAGUAGCAAUAGUAGUAGCAAAGUGGCCCAAUCCCUUUUGUAGCAAGGGACAAGCCUAGACAAAGUAACGUAGCGAGGACCAGUAGUAAAAGACUCGUAGGCAGUGGAUCGGUGAUGGAUGAGUAUGACGGAUGUGAUUCAUCAUGUAACAGCUAUAACACUGAGAGAUACGUAACUAGCUCCCGUUCGUCAAUCUAAUAUAGGCAUGUAUUCCGUAUGUAGUCAUACGUGCUUAGGGAAAAGAACUUGCAUGACAUCUAUUGUCCAUCCCUCCCGUGGCAGCGGGGUCCUAAUGGAAACUACAGGAUAUUAAGGUUCUUCUUUUAAUAAAGAACCGGACCAACGCAUUAACACGCGGUGAAUACAUGAACUCCUCAUACUAUGGUCAUCUCCGGGAGUGGUUCCGGCUAUGCUCACUCCAGGGUUGCCGGGUCAUAACACAUAGCAGGUGACUACAACUUGCAAGAUAGGAUCUAAAACACACAUAUGUUGGCGACAACAUAAUAGGUUCAGAUCUGAAAUCAUGGCACUCGGGCCCUAGUGACAAGCAUUAAGCAUAGCCAAGUAGUAGCAACAUCGAUCUAGAACAUAGUGGAUNNNNNNNNNNNNNNNNNNNNNNNNNNNNNNNNNNNNNNNNNNNNNNNNNNNNNNNNNNNNNNNNNNNNNNNNNNNNNNNNNNNNNNNNNNNNNNNNNNNNNNNNNNNNNNNNNNNNNNNNNNNNNNNNNNNNNNNNNNNNNNNNNNNNNNNNNNNNNNNNNNNNNNNNNNNNNNNNNNNNNNNNNNNNNNNNNNNNNNNNNNNNNNNNNNNNNNNNNNNNNNNNNNNNNNNNNNNNNNNNNNNNNNNNNNNNNNNNNNNNNNNNNNNNNNNNNNNNNNNNNNNNNNNNAUCUAGAACAUAGUGGAUACUAGGGAUCAAUCCCCGUCAAGAACUAACUCGAUUACAUGAUAGAUCUCAUCCAACUCAUCACCGUCCAGCAAGCCUACGAUGAGAUUACUCACAAACGGUGAAGAGCAUCAUGGAAUUGUCGAUGGAGGAAGGUUGAUGAUGACGAUGGUGACGAUUUCCCCUCUCCGGAGCCCAGAACGGACUCCAGAUCUGCCCUCCAGAUGAAGAACAUGAUGUGGUGGCGCCUCCGUAUCGCAAAACGCGAUGAAACCUUCUCUCUGAUUUUUUUCCGGGCGAAACAGAAGAUAUAGAGCUGAGUUUGGGGGCGAUGGAGCCACGUGGGCCCCACAAGUUCUCACGGCGCGGCCAGGGGGGUGGUCGCGGCCUAUGGGCUUGUGGCCCACUGGUCCACCUCCUCCGGUGGAUCUUUGCGCAGAUAUUUUUCUUUUAUUCCAGAAAAAAUCUCCGUAAAUUUUCAGGACGUUCCGAGAACUUUUAUUUCUGCAAAUAAAACACCAUGGCAAUUCUGCUGAAAACAGCGUCCGUCCGGGUUAGUUUCAUUCAAAUCAUGCAAGUUAGAGUCCAAAACAAGGGCAAAAGAGUUCAGAAAAGUAGAUACGACGGAGACGUAUCACUCCCCUACUCCACCCCUCGAUUGGGGGGUUGAGCAAGGGAAUUUCUACCUUUAGACCACUUCCAUCCAACAUUAAAGGGCGGAGUAGGGUCCGCGUUGAAAAUCCCCUCAAAUGGGUUGAUGAGUGGAUAUAUUCAAAUGCAACUGUAGUUCAAAUUUAAAUAUUACAAUCCAGUGAAGUUUUGAAAUAAAAUAGUUUAAACAUGAAUUCAACCUGCACAUAUGUUUUUGUUGCCCCUUUCACCGCCCACAUAUGUUGGAUCAAAGCUUCAUUGAGCCGCUCAUGAGUUGCUCAAUGCCGAAUUUGAACAAACUAAUCAAACAUGCUCGGAUUCUAAUGUGGAAGUUGAACAGGAUCACUCAUGUUCUCAAAUUUCAUACCUUCGCCAACAUAUUGAUAUGUCUCAAACGCAACUAUAAUUUUUUAUUGUUUCAGUUUAUUACAAUAUCACUUUUGAAUACUUCUUAUAGCAUUUUUCUAAUUUUUUUCUGAACUAAGCUAUGAACUCGGUGCCAAGAGCAUGUUGCUGCUGUUUUCUGCAUGUUUUAAAAUUUUCAUAAAAUCCAUAUCUACGGAGUUCCAAAACCCCCGAAGACGCUUCAUGAUUUUUUUCCAAGUCCAUAGGAUUCCAGAAAAGUGUCUGGAGAUGCCAAGGGUAACCCGACAGCCCCACGUGGCUAGGUGGCAUGGUCAGGGCCCCACCCGCAUGGGCAGACCGUGUGGGAUGACUAGGCAUUGCCUUACAUCCUUUAGUUUGCCUACAAAUCCCAUAUUUUGAGAAACCCUCACUUCCAUUUUUUCGUGAUUUUUUUCGCCACCAUAAGUUCCUGUUUCGGUGCGAUCCAAUCUGGAGGCAUGUUCCGGUACCCUGAUGUAGGAGGAAUCCAUAAACGGAGCCAUGUUCAUCGACCUUGCUACCACCAUGAUCAUGUGUGAGUAGUUUCUUUAGGAUCUUAGGGUCCAUAGCAGUAGCUAGAUGAGAUCCUCCCUCCCUUGUCAUUUAAUACAAAGUUCCUUGGGCUUCCUCACAUCAUUGAGAUCAAUAUGAUGUAAUCGGUGAUUGUGUUUGUUGAGAUAUGAUGAUUUUUCACUUUAUGAUAAUAUUGUUCAUUGAAUUAUAUUGAAUUCUUUGAAGUUUCUUUGAUGCAUAAUUAAGCACCACAUAUUCUUUCCAAUCUAGUUGUCGUCUCUGACCAAGUUUGAUAAGUAGUUCUUCACAGGGAGUUGUGCAUAGUUUUACUGUCUACAUUAUGUCGUCAUGCUUAUUCUAAUGCUUUAUUUGUCAUGAGUUUAAUACUUCGAGAUGCAUGUUGGAUAGUGGUCUUGGGGUGGAAUAUAGUUGUAAAUGAAGUUCAACAACAGUCUACAUAUCACAUACGUAAUGCAUAUGCAAGAUUAUGUCAUGAAUGAUCAUAAUCAUAAAUAUAAAUAUUACAAUUUAACCACCGCUCAAUUGUAAUUUGUGCACCACAUCACACUUAUCUGCUUGAAUAAAUGUCACUAGUGAACCUAUGACUGCGAGGGUCUAUUUUCCUUUACUUAAAACAUCAUAAAAAUACUUUACUUUGUUGUAUCGUUUUAUUUAUUUUUCCUUUCUACCAAUUCCUACCAUACUAUGAAAAAUACCCUUGUAACUAGUAGGGAAAGAAUCAUGACAACCUUUUUGAAACGGUAGGGGCAAGAUUGUCUUGUGUUUUUUAAGUAGAUACCGGUGACUUUGUUUGUUGGAAUAAUUCAUGGUUUUUAUUCAAUAAACCUUGAUACUCAAUCAAGGGAAAUACUUAUUUCUAUGUUAAUUCACCUUUCAAUUGGGGAUGACCUAACCAUUCUUACGAGAGAGAAAGCACAUCUUCACCCUCAUCCUCCACUAUCAUGUUGCGCAUGAUCACACAACAUGUCAUCACCCCUCACAAGGUCUCCGGAUCCCAUUGUUUAGCAUGUCCACGAACAACUGCAAAACGAGAUUGGAGCAGUCCAGUCCCUCUCAACCUCAUUUCUAGAUCCUUCUUGCCCUUGGGAAAAGAGAGCUCUUUUCUGACCAACUGACUUAGAGAUGGUCUCGACGAAGGCAGCCCAUGGAGGGUAGAUACUACCAACGAGUAGUACAUGUUGUACUAAGGCCCAUUGACAAUAUAGUUUCAAGGAGGAGCUUGUCCUUUAGUCAACCUAGCAAACAAUGGAGAUCGCUGCUGCAUAUUGAUGUCAUUGUGAGACCCAGGCGCAUGCCAAAGAAACUAUGCCAAAUCCAGAGGUCUUGAUGAAACUACUUUAAGAAUGACGAUGUAUUUCUUAACAUGGCCCUCAUAUUGCCCUUGGAGAGCUUUUGGGCAGUUCUUCCAUCUCUAGUGCAUGUAAUCAAGAGAUUCAAGCAUCCCUGGCCAUCCUCUUGCUUCCGAGAGUGCCAUGAGCCUUUCAGUGUCUGUGGUAGUUGGUUAUCUCAAGUACUAAGCUCCAAACAUCUAGACCACCUCAGUAUCAAAUCUGAUCAUGGCAUCUUCGCAUGUGCCGUUAGACAUCCUUCCACGGAUAUGUGGUUGUGCCAAUGUAACCAUGCACUUGGUAACCAGAGAAUUCAAUUCUUCCUACGACAUCCUUCUUCAAGAUGAAGUAGUCAUUGUAGGAUCAGACGCCGUAGGAGAGGCGAAUGAAGACUUUUUUCGCAUAAAAAAAUGUUGACAAAAAUUAUCCGCGGUAGGGCAUCGGGGGCAAAGUAGUCGUCCAUCAUCUAUAGUCGCCCAAGUUUUGAUUUAGCACUCGACGACCCUUGAUUGAUCCCUUGAAAUUAACAUGUUCUUCCGUACGCUCCAUGUGAGCAAGGAUCACCUGCAUCAUUGCCAUUUCAUCCGCACACAAUCCUCCUCGUCAGAUGAAUCAACCUAGUGCUCAUACAUAUACUCCAUGGCCAACUCGUUGCUUCGAAGAAGGGCAACAUUUUUAGCAUGGAUAUUUCACAAAACACUUGCAGGGCAUGGUGACCCCCCCAGAGGCGGGUGAUACAUGUGCCGCGUACGGGCGAGAGGUAUGAAACUUCGACGUAGGCAAAGCGGCAUGACGCCUAGAUGGGGCGAUGGAGGUCGCGGAGGUCCAACAAGGGGUUGACGGGACGCCAUGAUGGUACAACAUUGACAUCAACAAGGAAGGAAGUGAUGCGGAGAAAUAGGGAAGGGAUGGAGAUGCGGGGUCCGAGUGUGGUUUUGGAUGGGCCCGGGGUGUCGGAGUGCUAUGCGGUGGUAGAACGGACUCCUGUAGAGCCCUCCCCCUCCGCUAAUUCUCUUUCAGAUUGCAGGAAGAUGGACAGGUCAACCAAUACGAAACGACGUUGAAUGCUGAACUGUAGGGUGAUUUGAGGGUCCUCUUUGGAGAUGUUCGAAUAACCACACUGCCAAGGAGGUUCGUGGAAUCUGCUACAUCAAUUAAUCUAGAGCCCUGAAAAGGCUUGAUCAAAGAUGAAGUGAUCAUUGUUAGGAUUUUUAGGGUACACUACAAUUGUAGCCAGGGCCGGGCCCACAGUGGUGCCAAAAGUGUGGCCCGCACAGGGCCUAAAAUUUUUGAGGGCCCCAAAAAAUUUAUAUGGGCAUAAUAUUAAAAAUAAUAAAAAUAUAUGUUACUGGGCCUGGUGACGCUAGUGUUGGGCUGGAUACGUGGAGUCGAGGCAAGGAGACCAUUGAUCCCGCGCACUACAACGAUCGCGAUCGGGAUCGGGAUCGUAAUCACACAACUCUGGAAUCAAUCAUGGCUACAUGGAAGGAAUCGUCGCCUCAUCUCGUCGCCCCGUCUCGUCGCAAUCGCCAGGGGAGCGCUGGGGCGGUGGAUCUCCGGGGUCGUCAAGCCGCCGUCGCCGCCGCGGAUCUGCAGGCCGCCCGUCACCGCGUGCAAGGUCAAGCUCAGCGACGGCCGCCACCUCGCCUACGCUGAGUCCAGGGCACACAAGGAGGAUGCACGCUACUGUCUUCUCCCGCAACUUCACCUGCUCCUGCCAUGACACCAUGCGCCCUUGUCAGUCAACCUGCAACCUAGGCAGUAGGAAAGCGGUUUCAGCUUCAGCUGCUGCAUAUUUUGUUCUCAAUGGAUUGGAUUGGUUUGCCGAAUUGGGGAUCAUCCAAUGGAAAAGAUCGCGCUAGCUUUUGUUGGAUGUUUCAAAGAAUAUUGUCCUGUUAUUACUCCACGAAGCAUGAAUAUGCAAUUUGGUUGGUCAUGGAAGCAGAGUAUUCAGAGCAAUCAUUUAUGCUUCGUUGACUGCAUUACAGUGCUUGUAUUUCAGAUUAGUACUGCUGUAUUUUGUUGGAAAAAUCAAUGCAAUUAGUAGUAUUUCAACAGCAUCAUUUUAAAUUUUGAUUAGCUGGUGUCAUGACUAACUGUUGCAAUGACUAAUAUAGGUUCCUAAUUGUUUUAGCUUGACAAAUAUAUACCAUUUGGCCGCCAUUGCCUUCCUCGCCUCCUCUCUCAAAAUUCAGACUCAUCGACGUCGUCUCGUCAAAUUGAUCGGUGACCAACUCCUCCAACAUGCAGGUAUUUAUCGAAUCCUUCUUUACGAUUAACUUCGUUAGUUCAUUAUUUUAUGAGAUAGGGUCAUUUUUCUUGUUUCGCACAGGGCCUCGGAUUUUGCCGGCCCGGCCCUGAUUGUAGCAAUAUUCCCCACUUCAAUUGUAGCAAUAUUCCCUGCUAGGGAAGGAUUAAAAUACUUUUAGGCCCUGUUUGGAUUGCCAUAAGCAGCUCUGUAAGCCAUACAGACCUUCCGUCGUCGUAUUUAUUCCAGGCGGAAAUUAAACUACUUAUAAUUUACAUUGUAAAUAAAUUUCGGGUGUAUAGAUUUACACCGCAUCCAAGCGGGACCUUAGAUGCUGAAGGGAGAAAGCGGUUGUAGGCACGCACGUACACUCUUGGCACAAUAUCAACAGACGGAGCAGCUAAACCAUGCACGCAUGCACACACGCGAGUACACCUUAUGCAUACGUACACGUACAAAUUGUACUAACUAGCUCGAGGACGGCAUACGGACCAGAACGCAGCCGAGCGACACGCACGCGCGUCACCCAUCAGCUGCCCGCGGCCGGCUGGUGCCGGUGCUGCCGCCGCCUCCACGAUGCGACGAUGGCCACGAGCACGAGCAGCACCGCGGCGGCGGCGCCGACGAACGUGCGCACGGGCAUCCCGCUUCGCCGCCUCCCCCUGCCUCUCCUCCUCGGUACGCGCCUCGGUCUCCUCCGUCCGACGGCUUCUUCUCCCGCAGAGUCAGCAUCCUCGCCCGCACUGCUGCUGCAGGUCGACUGGCAGCUGCAGCUUCGAUAUGCGCCGGGAUCCUCGACGUGAACCGCCUCCUCCACCGGCAGCACCGGCCAGUGCUCCGAAGACGCGGACUCUGUCUCGACGUCGCUGUGGCUGUGCUCGACGUGGAGGUGGCGAUGAUGAACCGCCGGCAGAUCAUGCUCCUCCUCCUCCUCCUCCGGCUCGCCGGCCGUGGCGGCUGGCUUUGAUCCCCACGACCGCCUCAUGAUGUUAACUCUAGCUAGCUCUCUCAAAGACAUGGAUGCAUGCUUGGUUAGAUAUGCGCUAAAGACUCCAGGCUCGCGGGGUGUGUGCGUGCAGGUUUGCAUAAACAAAAGAUGUACGGUUGCCUUUGGCGGCACGUAUGCAUCGAUGCUGCCUGUCUGUCUGCCCUUUAGUGGCGGAUAUAGGACACCCCCUGCAAAAUCGACAAAUAAUCUAUACCUAUUAAUAAAAAAACAUAUUUUUGAUCUAUUAUGUUAUUUUACAGAAAAUCCCUCUAAAUCUAUAGUUUAUACUUAUACCUAUACCUACUUCUAUUUAUAUUUAUACUAGCAAAAGGGUCCGUGAAUUGCAACGGAAGAAAAAUAAUUAUAAUCUUCAAGGAUGCUGAUCAUAUUACGUCCUUAAAAUUUUAGGACAUUUCUUGAAAUGCAUGAACAUUUUUUGAAUUAGCAAACAUUUUUUUCAAUUGCACUCAAAAAAUAAUACACAAACUUUUUUCUCAAAAUCAUGGACUUUUAUUGUUUUCACCAACAUUGUUCUCAAAAUUAUGAACAUUUUUCUGAAUAUGGGAAUACUUUUACAAAUAUCCCGAGCAUUUUUUGAAUUCAAAAACAUUUUAUGUUUUCUUCAAAAUUCUCACUUUUAUAAGUUGCAAAAGUUUUUCAAAAGUCGAUAUUAUUUAAAUUUAAAAAAAUGGAACAAAAAACGAAAAUAAAGAAUGAGACUAAAAACAGAGGCACAAACUGUUUUUAAGAUUUUUACACAGACUUUUGUUUAAAAUUAUUGACUUUUUUUCAUUUUACAGACAUUUUCUAAAAAUUUAAACAUUUUUUUGUAUAUGCAAACAUUUUUCAAAACUCCUAAGUAGUUUUUGAAUUCUCAAAAAAAAAUGUUAUUUUAAUAUUUUAUUUCAAAAUUCUCAGUUUCUUAAAUUUAAGAAAAAUUAUUUGAAGUUCUAAAUUAUUUAAAGUAGAAAAAAAGGAACUGAAAAGUAAAAUAAAAAAACUAAACUAAAAGAAGAGGCGGCCACGCAUGGGCCGACCCAAAUAGGUGUCCUGUAUCUUUUUUCAAUGCCCAGAGCGUAAUAUAGGAGGUGCCUACAUGGGUCGGCCCAGUCCGGAGAUUUUACUGUCUGAAACAUUUUCCAUGACUUAUAAGUGGCAAUUGUGAGUAAUUUUUAUCAACUUUAUAGGCAAUGUUAAUGACGGACGAUAGAAGCACUAAUUGCUUUAUUAGUAGGUAAAGAUUAAUUACUAAAUUAUUAUUAUUAUAAAGAAAAUAGAUAUUUUUCAUCCGUCAUGUUAUUUUGUAGAAAUCCCCCUUAAGUUUCUGAUAAUUAACCUGUACAUAUUAAUCGGUUGUUUUUGAAUCCAUAUCCUUUUAACCAUAACUUUAAAUUUAACAUGUUAUAUAUAAAACUUGAUUAAAAAAAUAUGUAGAAUCUGAAUAUGAUAUUAUUUUACCUGUUAACCAUUUAAAAAAUGAUAUUUAAGAUGAAACCUUAAUCAAUAACGCAUGACCUUUCUUUGCUUCAUACUGGUGCCGAUCCGAAUUGAAAAUGAACACUUCGGCAAAACCAAGACGGGGAACUGAUACGUCUCCAUUGUAUCUAUUUUUUCUAACGCUUUUGUUCUUGUUUUAGACUCUAGUUUGCAUGAUUUGAAUGAAACUAACCCGGGCUGACUCUGUUUUCAGCAGAACUACCAUGGUGUUGUUUUUGUGCAAAAAUAAACGUUCUCGGCAUGUGACGAAACUUUUUGAAGAUUUUUUCUGAAAUAAAUGGAAAAUAUUGUAACCAAGACCCACCAUAGGGGAGGCCCUAGACGCCCACUAGGCACGAGGGCGCGCUAGCCCCCCCCCCCCGGCGCGGCCUGUUGUCUAGUGGGGCCCACAGGACUCCGAUGACCCUAAUUUCGAAGCAAUAAAAUCCUACUUUCAGAGAAAAAAAUCAGAGGGGAAGUUUCAUCGAGUUUCACGAUACGGAGCCACCGCCACCUGAUGACGAGAUGAUGUAUAUACUUCUCGCCCCUCGUUGGAUACCCCAAGUGGAUGGUGGAGAUGUAGUGAGCAGCAAAUUUCUCUUACACGGAGACUGUAAGGUUUAUCGAACCAGGAGGACUCCUAGGCUGAACAAGUAGGUGUCUUCCACCCUCGCGCUAGUAGAAGACGUGGACCUGCACACUCAACAAAUAACUUUGCUCCCAACGAGUACAGAGAGGUUGUCAAUCUCUCCGGCCUUGUAGUUUGCAAAGGAUCAAAACACAAGAGGAAAGGUAAUAAUGAUUGCAACGGAAAAGUAAAUGAAAGCGGUAAAUGAUGGAGGUGUAACCGAUGAUGGUGAUAUGGACCGGAGUCACAUGAUGUUCACUAGUGAUGUCCUUCUCCUCAAAGACGAUAAACAACUAUACUAGGGUAAACAAAUCACAGUUGGGCAAUUGUCAGAAUUAUGAUCGCACCGCAAUGCUAAUUACGCUCCUUGAUAGUUAGAGGUUUAAUAGUAAUGGGCAGUACACCAAGACAAGUAGACCGUUUAUUCAUCAGCAUCUACUUACUAAUCAUCCACCUUGAGAUAUUUAUCCAUAACAUCUCUCCGGUACUAAGUUGCGAGCCCCACCCAAAGUGUAAACUCAAAGCAACGGCCAACUACAUAAACGAACUAUGCGUAAGGUAAAAAAUCCUUGCAACCGUGGUCACAAGCACCAUUGUUUUCUCCCUGGUGGCAACAAGAACAUCCCCUAGUAUCAUGUUUAUGUCACUCAAGCUAGACAUCAAGGGGCCCGAACCCACAAUCAUGCAUAACGCUCCCUCUUGGAGUUACGAUCUACUACUUGGCCAAACCAAUAAAAAGCAAGGGAGAACAUGCAAGAAUCACUAAGGAACAUAAUAUAAAAGGAUAAUCAAAGAUAUAACUCAUAACAAUCUGAACGUAAUCUCAUAAUCUAUCGGAUCCCAACAAACACAGAAUAGAAAAAGCAAGAGAAUUACAUAGAUGCCUUGAUCAUGUAGGGCACCUCACAAGGACUAACCGUUGAAGCACAAGAUUGGAGAGAAGACAUCACAUAGCUACUGGUCAUGGAGUCAUGGUCCAAGGAGGACUACUCACGGCACGUCCGGGAAGCGCCCAUGGCGGUGGAGAAGCUCCCGGAGGUCAAUCCUGCCUCCGGCAGGGUGCCGAGAAGAGGUCUCCUGACGCUCCCGAUCUUGGAAGCGCUACGACGGCGGAACGAUGGAGAAAUUCGCGAUUCCAGAAAGUCUGCGAGGGUUUCCUCGCGAAUCUUUAAAUAUAGGCCAAAGCAGGGCACCGGAGGAGGUGGGACCCACCCAGGCGACCUCCUGGCGCGGCCUAGGGCCUGGCCGCGCUAGCAGGCCGCCUGGGAGGCCCCUGGACCCCCCUGGAGAAGCCCUUGCCAAAUAGAUAUCAGCACACAGAAACUGGUACUGGGUGCACUGAGUCAGUAGGUUAUUCCAAAUAUGUGUAAAAUUAUAUAGCAGUGUAUCAAAACAUAUAACAAUGUCACCCAAAAGAUCAUGGAACAAGCAGAAAAUAUAGAUACGUUUGGGAUGUAUCAACAUCCCCAAGCUUAAUUUGUGCUCGUCCUCGAGUAGAUAAAUGAUAACACAAUAAUUUAUGUGGUGAUAUGCUAACACACAUAUAGGAACUUCAAAGUAAAGCAAGUGAGAUAUGCAAUUCAAGUCAAGACAAUAACAAGCAAGAGUCUAUAUCGAGUAUUGAAUUUAGCAAAGUAAGAACAUAAAGGUGCAAGAGCUCUCGCUGUUUGUGACUCGAAUGUCUCCAAAUGGUGUUUGCGUGCAAGAAGUGGGAGAUGGGUUCAGAGAUAAUUUUUUUAAUUGAGAACUCAAUCUACUAAACCUCACACUUAGUCUCCUUCAGAAUCUUAUUUUGACUCAUCCCCAUACCACUUGUGAGGCACAAGUCAAAAUGAUCCUCUCCCUUUCGAUUUUGAGCACUCAUGCAAUGAAUGAGCAAGAUAUGUUGACACUUAGGAUGGCAAAUAGAAUAAUGAUGGGGAAGGAAGACAAAUAGGUGUGAAAGGCUCACAUCAAUGAGGACAACCAUAGGAGAGAGAAAGCCAAAUGAUAGAUAUGUUGUGAGGAGUAGGGAUUGCCAUGUAACAGAUGCACAUAUGAGCUAAGGUAAGCUCUCCAAUAGAACUAGUGGGGGUGCAUCCAACUUGUUUGCUCAUGAAGACCUAGAGCUCAUUUGAGGAGGCUCAUCACUGGAAUAUGCAAAGCAAGUUCUAUAGUGUAAGGGUCCCCACAUAGUUAUGCAUGAAUGAUAAUCUCUAUGUAGUACCAAUAUAACAAUGGAGUACGAGUGUGGAUCUUUCAAAAGGAAUAGUAGUGUUGUCCCACUACAAGAAAUAUGUCAACUAACGACCUUCAAUAUUGGUCACUGAAUGGUCAUUGAUUUCCAUUUGUGACGUUUUUAUGACCAAAAAAAAAGGUCUAAAGCUGAGGGUCUUUAGUGAACUAUAACGACCUUUUUUUCUGGAUUGGUUGUAGGAUUUUAUGACCAAACAAAAGGUCGUAGGUUUAACGACCAAAUGAUUUGGUCACUAGCAAUCUGCCCACACCACGUCAGAGCCACCGUGGUAGGCUGACGUGGCAGAAUUAUAACUAAAUGAAAAGGUCGUAAAUAAGAUUCAGCCCGGUCCAUUCCGGUCGUCUACAUGGGCCGGGCCCAAUAAUUUGGCCUUUUAUUUUCUGGGAUAGAAUCUUUUACUCGGCAGGUUUUUUAUUAGUCCACUUUUCUUUUGGGCCUUGGCCUACUCUUUUUAGUCCAGUUCUUGUUUGGGCCUUGGCCUACUCUUUUUUAGGCCCAAGCCUUUUUAGACAAAUUCUAGUUUGGGCCUUGGCCUACUCUUUUUUUAGGCCCAAGCCUUCUUAGUCUAUUUCUUGUUUGGGCCUCGGCCUUUUUGCUGUCCAAACUAACUUUAGUGCCCAAACAAAAUGGUCCAAACAAAACUUAAAUAAUUUACAACUUCAUAAAAUACUUCAUCAGGUUCAAAUAGAGCAAGACAUUGUUUCUUCACCAGAAUGACCAAUCACUUAAAUAAUUGACAACUUCACAGGUGCACAGCUUCACAAAAACUCAUCACGCAUUUCCACCAAGCUCUCAAAGUCCAUGCCCAGCGGACUUUCCUGAUGGUCCGUCGCAACCGCCAUAGUUGCUUUCUGCCUUGUGACUAUCAGGUUCAUCAGGUUCCAUGAUGCUCUUUGUUUGUCCUGGAGGUGGGGCCAUCACCCUUCCUGGAGGCAUUGCAGCAGAUGCUUCUAAGCUCUUCCUCUUC
rnacentral:lncRNA from 1 species